rnacentral:lncRNA from 1 species
CACAAUUGCCUUUGUGUAUAGCAGCACGCCAGCACAUGAUACAUAAAACCAAGCUCAGUUUCAACUUGUUUUAAGACAUCUUCUGCUGAAUGAUUUCGUAUCAUAUCAUUGUAAUCAAGGAUGAGGUUUGCAUAAAGAGCCUGAAGAUCUUGAAUAAUGCAUAAGUUUCAUGGAGUGGUCUGGCUUCAGAAAUACCAGGGUUCACUUCAGAAGUAGCAAUUCCUUCAGUAAGUGUACUCCAAAAGCCUACGUACGCCCUGGCCUCAAGCUUUUAUGGCGCUAUAUUUUUCCGCAAAAUCAGCAUAACCAUUACCAGGAUUAGGAGGUGGAUGAAAGGAGCCAGCAAGCAACCCAUGUCCUCUCUCCAUAGUCCAUACUAGAUGGUAAGUGCUAGCUGUCUAUAUCAAGCUGUAGCAAUCCAAGCUGGACUACUAAGCCUAGUAAAGUGCCAGAUGAAAUGAAGCCUAAGAAGCCAUGCCCAGGUUGUUUGGAUGUGGGGGGUUUUGUUGAUCAACAUUCCCUUGGAAGUUGGAGAUCAAUACAAGGUUCAAUUGUUCAAAUAUUCAAGUUAACUUAACUAUGUCACAAGGCUGAAUGCUCUUUCUUAUGAAUUUACACCCAAUAUAAGAAGUUACCGAUUCUGAGUUGACCAUUGGUUCUAAUUAGUAAUCAAGAUAGCAAAACUCAGUACUUGUACCAUCUUAUUGAAUGCAGUCUUUAACAUCAUCAAACUGAAAAAGGCCCUAAAUAAGAGUAUUAGAACCAAAUAAUAUGGAAGGAGAAGCCUAAACCCUCGACCCAUAAUGAAUUGAUGAAACAAAUGAACACAAAGCCAUAUAAACUAGAAAGAUCAAUUAAAAUGGUGAUUUUGUGAUUGCAGCAUGCUGAAGAUGCUGCACAGAUAUAAUAGUGUGUCUUUUUUCUUUUCUUUUUUUGGUCCGAGAUAUAAUACGGACUCAUCAACCUGGUCUUUAAGAGAACAAAUCUCCAGCUAUCAUUUCAAAGUUCCACACAGCCAAACAAAACAAAACCAGAAAUAGUGCUUCUUAUUGCUUUUUCAAAACACAAAAAAGAAAAAGUACUUUUAUUUCUACAACUGACCUUGGGUCAAAUGCAGUUUUCAUAAGAAAAUGAGAUUUUUGGGAAUCGGAAUCCCCCAUUCCAACAAAGCUCAACAAGCUCUCUCAGCACCCGCCUCAUGAACCGAAACGGCAGCAACCGUGAAUGCCUUGCCCUCCUGGAUAUGUCUCUACAACUUGAGCUACAAUUAGUAACAGCAUAUUUUACAGAUAAAAAAAGAUACUUCAACUAUCUCAAGCAAAGCGCAAAAAGUCAAAUAAUAGUGUCAGAUCAGAUCAACUCCACAUACUGCUAAUUAACAAUAAUCAUACACGCUCAUUCUUUCAAUAAUAUACAAUCUCAUUCUGCACAUAAUGAAAUACUACAACAAACAAAGAGCUACAUAGAGAUUAGAGAGCGCUGGUAACCUGGCAGUCCUGAAGCCAGCUACAUUGGAUAACUGAUGCAUAUGCAACACAAGAACUGACAUUAUGUUUCAAUGGUAGUCUUACAAACAGGAUUCACGAAACACCCAAGAUUGCUAAAGGAGCCGGGCUACAACAGUUUCAAGUUUCCUAGUGAAAUUGAAAAUAUAUAUUUCAAAUAUUCAUUUGACUUCAGACUGAAUUUUUAAGCCAUGCUAAUAAUACAGGGUCGACUUUAUCCUUCGACAACAAAUCAACAAUCAAUUCCAUAGUUGAUGCAUCUCCAGAGAAACCCCUCUCACUCAUUUCUUCAAUAAGACUUGUAGCCCUCGAUGUCUCGUUGUUAUUGAUAAAACCUCGGAUAAUUGUGUUAUAGGUGCAGCCAUCAGCAGAACAGCCUUUUUGCUCCAUUUCUCUAAACAACUUUUCUGCUUCAACUAAGAUGCCACCAUUACAAAGUCCCUUGAUCAUUAUAUUGUAUGUCCAUACAUCAGGCAGUACUCCUUUCGAUGACAAACCAGAGAAGACGUCUAUUGCAGAUUAAAUUUUCCCAGUUUUGAACAGAGCUUCAAUGAUAAUAUUGUAAGCUACAAUAUCUGGUUUCAACUUGUUCCCUUCCAUCUCUCUAAGCAAUUCAAUUGCCUCAGAAAGUUGUUGGUUGUUACAGAGGCCAUCAAGUAUAAUAUUAUAAGUUCGAAUAUCUGGAAGUUGGCCACAAUCUUGCAUCUCAGAGAACAACUUUUCUGCUUCUUGUAGUCUCCCAGCUUUGCAAAAACCAUCAAUAAGAGUGUUAUAGGUAAUGGUAUUAGGAACAAUUCCCCUACAAGGCAUUUCCUUGAAAAUCUUGUAAGCCUUAUCGAUCCUUUUACCCUCGCAAUAUCCGUUAAUCAUUAUGCUACAGCUAUGAACAUUAAUCAUGGAGCCCUUGGUAACCAUUAGAUCAAAAACUUGUUUUGCCUUGUCCAUUUCACCUCGCAAACAGUGACCAUCCAUUAGGGAACUGUAUGUGAUAGUGUUAGGUUCAAUUCCUUUUUGAAUCAUAAUCUUAACCACACUUUUGGCAUGCCCAACCAUCCCGUCCUUGCAUAGUGCAUCAACCAGGAUACUGAAGGUGAAGACAUCUGGAAAGAUACCUUGACUGGCCAUUUUCAUACAACAACCUCGUAGCUUCUUUCCAGUGGCUUAUAUCGCAAACUCCUUGAAUAAAAGAGUUGUAGGUGACAACGUCUGGAGCGAUACCUCUACCAAUCAUCUCUGAAAAGAGGUUCUUUGCUUGGUCAACUAGUGUAUCUUUGGCUGUCAAUGAUGGUGCUAAAGGUAUAUACGUCAGGCUUGCAUCCAUGUUCUUCCAUCUUCCGAAGUAAUUGAAUAGCCGCAGUGCUGUUUCCAAUCAUGCAAAAGCCCUGUAUUAAUGUGGUGAAAGUAAUCACAUCGGGCUGACAAUAACCUCCCUCCACCAUUUUGCUGAAAACUCUUGCUGCAUCAGCCAUUCUAUUUCGGAGAACAAAUCCGUGGAUUAGAGUAGUGAAGGUUGCAACAGUUGGUUGAAGACCCAGUUUGAAGAAGUGGGCCAAGACAGACAAGGCAUAUUCCAUAUGGUUCAAAUGACAGUAACAAUUGAUGGUAAUAUUAAGAGUAUAAACAUCAGAAGCGAUUCCGACGAGACCCAUUUGUGAAUUCAAAGAGAGGACAGCUUCAAAUUGUUUGAGUUUGACAAGUUGACCCAAGAUCCGAGUGAAACGGACAACAGAAGGCAGAGGACGCGAGUGAAGCAUUUCAUCGAACACCUUCAAGGCAUCCUCCCACUGCCCUGGUUCGAUUCCCUAGAUGGGUUUCUCCCGAAUGAAAGAAAGCCAUGGAACUGUUGAGGGGAGAGCGAAGACAAGAAAGCAUACCUCUUGUGCUGCUGAUGCGUAUCAUCUUCGGAUUCAAGAAUUGAGCUUCGGUAGAGAUCUCCCUUUUCUUAACGCGCUCAGAAGGAAUAAUAUUUGGUACUAAUUAUUGGGUUUUAUUCUUUAUUUCAAUAAACUCAUUUCAAUGAUUUUUAAAAAAAAACGUAUAUACCCUUAAUUAUCACACACAUCUCUCUCGUUUCUUUCUCCCGAUCUAAAACGUUCUCUCUCUCUCUCUCUCUCUCUACUCUCUCUCCUCCUCUCUCUACUUACUUACUCUCUCUCUCUCUCUCUCUCUCUCUCUCUCUCUCUCUCUCUACUCUCUCUCUCUCUCUCUCUCUCUCUCUCUCUCUCUCUCUCUCUCUCUCUCUCUCUCUCUCUCUCUCUCUCUCUCUCUCUCUCUCAUCCCUUUCGAUCCAAUCGUCAGAAAGCUUCUUAUUCUAAUUCAUGAGACCGAUCGAGUUCUACCGGGUAAUAAAGUUCUAUUGGAGUAAAAAAAGUUCUACUGAGGGGUGAAAAGUUUAUUAUUAAAGUAAUAAAUGUAUUACUGGGGGUAAUAAUUUUAUUACUAAUGGUCAUAACACUUUUUUCUUAUGCUUCAUUUAUCUAUGUUAUGGAGGUGGAUAACAAGUUUACUGGGGGUCAGUAAUAUGUUACGGGGGUGGAUAACAAAUUUAUUGGGGGUCAGUAAUAUAUUAUUGGGGUGGAUAACAAGUUUACUAAGAUCAGUAAUAUUCUGGCGACCGGAUUCCGGUAACUGGUGACUGGAGUUCGUGGACCAGUGACCGGAGUCCGGCAAACAAAGUCCUCUCUCUCUUCCAUUUUCUCUCUCUAAAUGUGUAUAAGACACAAGGGUAAAAGUGUCUCAAAAAUAUUAUUUUAUUAUGAAUUUAAUAAAGAUUUAUGUAUUUGGGCACAAAUAAACUAUCUCUCAUUCAAUUAGGGUCAAAUGUCUUAUUGUCAAUGGAAUGAAGUUUGACUUUUAUUUUUUUAUGCAAAUAGGCAUUAACCCUAUCUUCUUUGUCUUGUAUACGCAUUUUUAUUUUAUUUGCAAAUUUACUAUUUGAAUUUUUUAAUUUUAAAAAAUAAUAAUAAUAAUCAAUUUAUAAAAACAAAGGUGAGAAUAACGGGGAUUACAAUGACCACUAGGGUCACAAUAGUGUCAUUACAUUUGACAUUUAACUUACUUAUUCGUGAGUUUAGCAGAGGAUAAAACUAAUCACACACAAAAUACUAGAGAAACAUAAAACCAGAGCCAAGGCGCUCAAUUGCGGUAAUCCAAGUCCUAUGAAAUCAUCUCGCUGCAUCUAGCUCGCACAGUCUGUCAAGUUAUCCAUGCACUAACACUUGUUUUUGCCUUUUGGGUCAGAGCUUGAAUUUAUUUCAUGAUCGGCUCUUAUUAUAGAUAAAAUGUGUUAAUAACAAAAAAGAAUAUGUUAAUAGCAUCACCUUUUUAUUUUCGGUAAGUUAAUAUCAUUUCUGCUCACAGAAAUCACAUUUUUCAUUUCUUUUAUUGAAACUAAAUUUGGUAGGCUAAUUUCACUGCUCGUAUAAUCAUGUUAACUAAAUUUGGUAGGCUAAUUUUCGGCCACGAUGCGGCGUUGGCGAAGGUCUUGUAUUUGCGGUCAUUUGCGAAAAUAAAGGAUGUGUAUUUGUGUGGUGUCGGUCGAGAUUUCGGAAGUGUUGAUGUGUGGCAUCGGUCUCUGUCAUCAGAAGAGGUGCGCAGCAGUUUGGGUGGACGAUGGCGGUGCUGUGAAGAACGGCAGUGGGUAUCCAAUUCUUGUUGUCUCUUGUCAUCAAGGAUUUGGGCGCUUGGGUGUUGGGGGUGUGGAGGUGGAGGGUUGCUGCUGCGCAAUUUCUACCGGUGGGGCUUGUUCGUCAGUGGUCGGGGCUCAUUAGCGACGGCGGAGUGGAGUAUUCAGAGACGAGAUGGUAGUGGAGGACCUGCAGAUGUUGUCUUGGGCUGGAUCUAAGAAUUGGGCCCACUUUGCCCUAUUUCAAAUCUGGGCUUGUCCUAUACCAAGCAUGGUUUGGUCUUGGGGCUUUACCCUAGGUCUAUAAGGUCAAUUUAUUUGUUUAAUGUUGUUCUUUGCUUAUGUUAUUUAGUUUGUUCUUGCUUUUGGCGAGUAAUAAGUCCCUACAGUUGUUGUGUGGGGUUAGUUGGGCUCCUUGCCUGUGUGUGCACUCAAAGUGCCUUGUCUACUCUAGGUAGGCGGCGAGUUCCUUACUUUAUCAAAUGGUCGUUGCCACCUAGCGGUAGGGUGAAGCUGAGUGUCGUCGGAUUUAUCUUCCGACGACAAUAUAGCUGGAAAAUUGUUUUAGAAUUGGAUAUUAAGAUGUGUAAGUGUGUUACAUAUCUACUGAUUUUUCCAGGUUGUCAUCAUCGUUAUAUCAAAGCAAAUAGAGUCAUCAUUAGAGCAGUACUCUUUGUUAGUUAAUUGGUGAUUGUUUGAGUACAUGAGUAUUGUAGAGGUUUCUGAUAUUAUUUCAGGUCUUUGUAAUCAGGGGUUUAGGCUUAAUGUCCCCCCCCCCCUUUGUAUUUAACAGUUUCAUUAAUCAAGGCUUGAGCGCAGCCGCACCAGCCCUUUAUUACAAAAAAAAAAAAAUGAGUGGGUAGUGCAUCUCUUUAUUAUCUUGUAUAUGGGUAUGGAUAGACAAAAAUGUUCAUUAAUAAUAGUAGAAGACAAAUCAAACAGUAUUUGGAGAAAUUUGUCGAUCUUUUCCCUGUCAAGGUUUCUCUCUCAAAUUGUCCAAGCAUCUUUUGAUGGUGGCUAGGGAUGUAGCGGUGUAGGAGGCUACUCAAGCUGCAGCCCAAGAUAUGUCAGGUCAUUAGUUCGAUCGUUGGUGUAAAAAUUCUUAGGUUUUUUUCAGUAUUUUCACAUCUUCUUGUUUCUUUUUUCUUCUAUAUCUUCUUCUUUUACUAACGCUGCGUUUGGAUGAGAGUUUUUAUAAAUCCUAAGAAACUAUGCCUAAGAAACUAUGAAAUGGUGGAGUUUAGAUUUGCAAUGAAAGGUUUCUGUCAAUGAGAACUUGAAACUCGUCUUUAAGGGCCAAAGAUAGAUUUUUUUUUUUAUAUAAUAAAAAUUUACUAGAAAAUUAAAGUACAAACUGGAAACUGCUUCUUUUUUUUCUCUUCAUUUUUUGAAACCAAAAUAAAUUCUCCUUUAAAUGCACUCGUUAAUUUAUAUAGUAUGUUACUAGGUACUAACCCGCACAUUUCUGCGGGCUAGAGUUCAUGAAAUCAUGAGGAUGCAAAGGAAGGGAUUUAAUUUCGUAUGAUAAACAGCAAACAACUUGAUCAAAAGAUAAAGAACAUCCAUUUAAUUCAUAAGCUGCAACAGCUAUAUAAACAUUUAAUUCAUAAGAUGAAACUGUUAUAUAAACAAUACAGUUGCAAAAUAAAAAUCAACUUGUUACGUCCUCCUUCAACGAUCUUCUGGCUCCCCUGUGAGGAAAUGUAGCAAGCAAAGUGCUAGCAACAAGUCAAUCAUUCUUUGAAGUUUGAAAUAUGAAGACUGCUCACAAAGAACUAACAGCAAGCAAGAACAAUUAAAAUGUACAUUAUGAUGUGUGAACUUUUUCAAACAACGAAACUAACCAAGACUAGAUUUAUGCAUUUAGCCAAAGUCAAAGUUAUGCAGGUAAACAUGUUUGUUUACUGCUAUGUUUCCUCAUUUUCACUUUUUCCCUCUACUUCAUCACUAUAAUGUCUCUAACCUCCCAGACAUAUAAACCUUUACAGAUGCAGAUGCAGAUGUAAAUUAAAACUUCAUAGUGAAGAGACAAAUCCAAUUCCAUAAAAUACACACAAGAAGGACUAUCCACAACUUAUAUGAAUAUAAGUUGGUAAUAUUAUUUUUGGUUGUGUUACUUGUAACAUAUCAUAAUCCGGGUAGAUUCAAAACUAGCUUUGUAGCUUCUUCCUCACUUGCUUGAAACAUGUGGCACACACUGGGUAUAGAAGCAUCUGCCACCGACAAUUUUGUUAUUUGCAAUACACCAUUUGGUUCUGAUAUAUGAAGUAGGAUAUAAUUAGUAUUGUGAUAUUCUACAAUGCAAAUACAGUGUUUAUUUGUUGAUUUUUUUUAAUGAUCUUCAAAUGAUAGAAUUUUUCUAGAUAAGUGAAACUCUUCUACAAAAACCUAUUGAUAGCGAGAUUAGAACUUUUAAUGAGGUUUGGUGAUGAGUAGUAAGUAAUUAAGAGUGUAGUGUGUCAAUUAUAUAUAUAUACAAUAUAUAUAACUGAUUAUGGACUAAAUCGAAAUCAACUGAGAUUAAAACAAAGUCACCACCUUCCUUUUAGGGUAAAAUCUGGAAAAAAAAUUAAAAAAACUAUGAACGCAACAUAGUAGCAGUAAAGAUAAUAGGAGACUUUAACAUUACAUGGUGGGUGCUAUGCUGCAAAGUGUUAACAUGAUUAUAGGAUACCUAGUUACUGAUAUUUAACAUUACCAUCUAAAUCUACAGAACACAAAAGUAGAAUUUAUAUAAUUGUAACUAUACAAAUUCCUUCCCAAAGUUUAUAAAGAUGUUUCUGAAACCAUAAGAAAUAAUCGAUCCAUUGUAAGAUAAAGAAACUAAAUUAAGACAGAACACCAAAUUGAAGAACAGCAGCAGAAAGUAGAGUUGAAGAACAUUUUGCAUAAAGUCUGCAUAUGAUUAACAGAGAAGGAUCAAAAUCAAGCUCAUAAAUGUCUGUACAUACUAUGAAAUCAAGUUAACAAAAGUGGGAUGUGAGGAAUUGAAUAGAAAGAGUCUUUGAAAAAUGACUCCAUAAAAUAUGUAAAGUUGGUAAGCUUUUUCAUGAAAAAUGAAAAGACAGAGUUCCCAAAUUUUUCCCACGUAAAUGAAUAUGAAACAAGUUUAAAGCAGAAGAAGCAAUAUAUACCUAUGGACCUGAGCUUGUUCAAAACUUCGAGUAAACUACAAAAACAACAGAACCAAUUUCUUUGUUUUCAAGUAAAAUCUGAAAAAAAUAAAGAAAAAACCAACACAUCAAAUGCAUGCACUGUCAAAUGCAUAGUGACCUAGCAUAUUCAAACAUCUGCUAUAGUAGAUGAAAUGAUAUGGUAAAUCAUUCAGAAUUGAACAUAGUAUUGAAACAAAGCAAUUCAAGAGUAGAAAUUGUCACAUGAUUAGUGUCACAUGAUUAGUAUCCAUGAUCUAUAAGUUGUUGAUCUAUAAAUCAAAUGCGCAUUCUCAUUCUUCAGCAAUAUUCAACACAGAAAGAAAAACCCCAGCAAUGUCAUAGAAACCAAUUGAUUGAUAAAACAAAAAAUAUAGUGAUUGCUCACUUUCAUAAUACAUGCAAAGUAAUUCAAAAGUACUGAAGUAAUGUCUAAUGCAAUUAAAAGUACAUUUUCAGAGUUGAUAUACAAAGAAUACUAUCAUCAGCUUGACUGCAAAACUUGAUCAGAAGGAUCAAAAUGUUUCAUCCUGCAAAAAGGAAGCAUAUUGAUAUUGUGUCUAAAACAGAAAUUAAAAGCAGAUGAAAAUUAAAGCGUGCCAAAAACUCUUCAAACUGACAAUAUUUAAAUUUGACACAAAAUCAUUCAACAAAUCUCAAAUAAUUGAACCUGAAUGCAUACUAAUAUAAACAAUAAUCAUAAAUGUGAACGGAAACAUAUAUAUAGAAUCUAACAUGGGGAUUUUCUUUCUGUAUUAAGAAUAAUAGCAGACAAGGGAUUUGUAACAAAGAAACAAAUGAGGUCACUAACCAUAAUUGACAUCUGCAGAGUGUAAUGGAGUGUACAUGGAUCAUUUAUUUACUUCAUCUCUCUCUGCAACUGUAACUUUCAAAAGAAAUAAACCCAGAUUAAUCUCAAAGCUCCAACAUUCAAAACCAAAUCCAGACACAAUUCAACUUAAAAUUGUAACUUGCGCAAUUGAAAGAGGAUGGAGGAACAAUACCCAUUCUUUUUUCUUCGGAUCAAUGUCGGAACCCGUACCCAUUAUUGUUUCUUCCUUAUGGUCUUCAAUUUUCAUCUUUCAAUUAUGGCUGACGUCAAGAUUCUUUGGCCGUCAGCUGUGGAGAUGGAUGUGUGGUGGGUUGAGGGAGGGCUAGGUUGAGAUGGUAAUGUUAGUGUGUAGAGAGAGAGAGAGAGAGAGAGAGUAGAGAGGAAGAAGGAAGAAGAAAGAAGUAGUAGAGUAGUCGUCUCGUAACGUUACUAACGUACUACUACUCCUCCUCCUCCCUCUCUCUCUCUCUCUCUCUCUCUCUCUCUCUCUCUCUCUAUGAAAAACGCUUGAAGAGAAUGUUUGAGACAGCUGAAGAAGACGCCAGAAGAUGAGAGAGAACACGCGGCAAGAGACCAGCUAAUAUCAAGGCCCAACACUAGGCCCAUCACUGUUCGAAAUGUGUACAGUAGGUCGGCGCUAGGCCCUAUAAUACUUAGUUAAAUUAAAUAAGAUAUAUAAGGCAGUUAAUCAAUAUAAUUAUUAAAAUCUUUCAUUCACAAUGAUCAAUUAAUGUAAAAACUCGAAUUUUAGAGCGUAAUAAUCAUAAAUGUUAAUCUAAAUAGCUUCUAAUUAUUGAAAAAAUACAAGUCAACCAAUGUCAUUAGAGCAACUCCCACCAUAAGCUAAAAAUCUAAAUUUAGCUUAUGGUUUGCUCCCACAAUAAGCUAAAUUACAAGUCCUAAGAAAAAAAAUUUGGCUUGAAGAAUUUGGUAAGCUAAAUUUGGCUUAUGGAGUUGGUAAGCUAAAGCCAAAUCUUUUUUUAUUGAACUUCAUAUUUUUCCUUUCAAUUUAAUAUCAUCUAAAUAAAAAAUGUGUUACUAACAACUAUCACGAAGAUCUCGACGAGAUCUUUCAUAUGAGCCUCAUAUCGAAUAUAUUUCAAUAAAUUUUUUUGUAUGAUUAAUCAUUGAAUAAACAAAUAUAUAACAAAAGAAAAAGAAAAUAGCUUUACCUUAGAAUUUAGCGUAUGGUGAGAGUCUUUUUAAAGCCAAAAUAUUAUUAGUUUAGCUAGGGAUUUAACUUAUGGUAAGAGAUUUUGGUAAGCUAAAAAACGAUUCCAUAGAAUAUUCCUAUUUUUAAAGCUAAAUUUGGUUACAAAUAGCCAUACACUACUGGAUUAUGGCUAUUAGCCGACGGAAACAUUCCGUCCGUUAAGACAUAUAUUUCGUCUGCAAAGAUUUUAGCCGAUGGAAAUUCCGUCGGCUAAGAUCAGUCGGUUAAGCUUCGUCUGCUAAGACAAUAGCCGACGGAAUCAUCAAUUCCGUCUGCCAAGAUUUUAGUCUACGGAACUUAGUCGACGGAAGUAAAAAUUUUAAAUUUUUUUUUUUAGAAUAACUGGUCGUUUUUUUAGGUUCUUUUUUUUUUUUUCCUUCUCUUCCUCUUCUCCGGCAACCACGACGGUUAUGUUUGUGUGUUCCCGAACAACUCCACUCCACCUCCGACGCUAAACUCGCCAAGAUUCUACCUUCAAGGAACCGCACGUACAACGAUCUAUUGCCUUACUUAUGCCGCGGAGAGUAACCGUCCGCACGUCAACCACCCUGCGAGGAGGAGGAGGAGGAGACGCUGCUUGGAAGAGGAGGAGGUGCCGCCGAGUGGAAGAGGAGUAGGAGUUGCCGCCGAGAAGAGGAGGAGGAGGAGGAGGUGCUGCGACGAAGGAGGAGGAGGAGGUGCCGCGGUAGUGGGGGAGCAGCCAGACGAGGGAGAGAGAGAGCAAGCAGACGAGCUAGGGAGAGAGAGAUGAAGAGAAUGAGGGAGAGAGAGCUGAAAGUUAUAGAAUGGAGCCAAAAAAAAUUCAAAAUUUUUGGCGGGCAUAACUGCCGCUUAAAAAUUUUUGAACUUAGUCGACGAAAUAUAUUUUUCCGUCGCCUAAGUUCAAAAUAUUUAAGCGGCAGUUAUCCCGCCAAAUUUUUUUUUUUUAAAAUUUGGUUCCGUCGACUAAGUAGAUAUUUCCGUCGACUAAGAUAUAACCUAAGCGACGGAAUAAUUUUUCGUCACCUAAGUUAUCAUAAAUAAUCAUUUAUAUUUAUAUAUAAAUGUUCCGUCGGCUAGGUAAAAAUUUCCGUCGCCUAAGAUCUUCUUAGCCAACAGAAUAUUUUUCCGUUGGCUAGAUGAAAACUUAGGCUACGGAAUUUUUUCCGUCGGCUAAGUAGAUCUUAGGCGACGAAAAUAUUAUUGUUCCGUCGGCUAAGUGAUUUUUUCCACUAGUGAUAGGGACGAUUGCCCCCUCUGUUCGCAAUGAAGAUCCGCUUAUGUUUCUUGUAAUUUUGUUAUUGCUUGCCGCCAACCCAACGAGCGUUGAGCGGUUGUAAGUAGAUAUUUUGAUGUAUGUGUCUUCUGGGCAUAGAUGAAAGUGUCAAAUAUAUAUUUUUCUCAACAACAAAAAAUAACAAAAAAAGGGAAAAGAGAAAUAUAUUUAGGCAACCAACGUAGGUUAUCAGUUAUUUGCUGAUGGCUGUUUGAUUUUUGGCCAGGCUUCCUCCAAAGCUGCCAGGAACAUUUCUUCUAUGCUUUAGAAUUUUGCCAUAGCCUUGGGUCAACAGAUAAAUUUAGAUAAUUCCUCUAUUUAUUUCUCUUCUAAGACUGAUGCUUCUUUGAAAUUGACUAUCUCUAAUAUCCUAGGAAUUCAAAACAGAAGUUCCUUUGGUAGAUAUUUAGGAAUUCACAAUAUUGUUUUUUGGCUUGUUUUAUGAAUGGUAUUGAUUCCUCAUGUGCUCUUUGUGAUACUGCAAUUGAAGAUAUUAAUCAUUUGUUCAGAUCAUGUUCUUUUUCAGAUUCAGUUUGGACUUCUGCUAGUAACUUGCAUUCCCCCUCUAACUUUUUUAAUAUGGAGGUCUGGCUUGAACAUAUUAUGGAUAAUGAGCCUUACUUUGUGUUUGAAGACUGUGUUCUAGUGUGCUGGUAGAUUUGGAAGUCUCGAAACAACAUCAUCUUCUGAUCUGCUCAGUCCACUCCCAUCUCAGUACGUUGUUUAUGUUGCAGCCUCUAUCGGUGCUUCCUACCGCAGUAUUAAUGGUCCAUAUGCUGCUCCUACUUCAAGAGUUGCUGACAUCAUCUGCUGGAUCCCUCUUGCUCCAAAUUGGGUGAAGCUUAACUUUGACGACUCCGACAGUCCCACCUCUGGUGUUGUUGGCUUUGUUAUUAGAGACUCUUUGGGAGUUCCCUUAGUUGCUGGUGCAUGUCGACUCCAUACUUCUAUUGUAACAAUUUCUAAGUGUUGUGCCAUUAAAAAUGGUUUCGCUAGUGCUAAAAGGUUCAACUUCAAGUCUACUGCUAAAAGGUUCAACUUCAAGUCUAUUGUGAGUGAAAGAGAUUGUCUCUUAACGAUCAACUGCGUUAAUAAUGCAUGUGAAGUCCAUUGGCAUCUCAAAUUUCAUAUUUGAGAUGUCCUCCAUGUUGGAAGUGAGUUUGAUAAUAUCAGUUUUGUUCAUGCUUUUCGAUAAGCUAAUUUCUUAACGGAUCCUUUUACAAAUCUCGGGCACAGUCUCCAUCUCGUUAUAAUUUUCUUUAAAAAAAAAAAACGUGGGUUAUCAGCAACUGUGGGAAAAAAAAAAUAUUGAGUUGGUUCAGCUCAAGUUUGAGAGAUCCCCGGACUCCUCCCGAUUUGGCGUUUCUGGCAUAUGAGUUUAACUCAAAAUUUUAGGAAGGAAAUCGGAGAUGGCCGUGAUGGCCGACCCAACAAGUCAAGAACUAUUGUAUUAACGUUAGACAUGGACACUCUCUGUAUGACUGAGCACAAAUGAGGACCGAGUCCCUCCUUGUACGCAACGCCCAAUUCAUGUUUCAUUUCCAUAUCAAGAUCAUCAACUCUUCUUUUAAAUCUGUGAUUACUCCAAAUAUUCAAAGAGACUCAUCACAGCUAUAGCUUUUCUCUGCUCUGAUUUAUCAGGUACCUCAUUCACACCCUUUUGAUCCCUGCUUUCUUCGUCCUUUUGGAGUAUUUGAAAUGGGUGAUAGAAUCUUCAUGCUGAUCUUUCUUGUAUGUUGCAAAAAGUAAUGGAUGUUGGUUGUUCAUGCAAUCUGAAGUUCUGGGUCACUGUUUUUUCUAUUGUUCUUGGGACAUAUUGCAUUGCCUAUAUAUUUUAGUCUUUGAGGUGGAUGCUUUUAACUAGUACAUGUUAUUGAUCCUUUGGAAUUACCAUUCCGUGCUCAAAUUUCGAGUCUUUAUGUUCUUAAAGAAGUAAGGUAUGGGAUUUAUAUGAUUUUCUGGGUCUAGGCAUGUGAAUGAUAUAACCAAAGUAGAGGUCUAGUGCUCAAAUUUUGAUGCUUUGUCUAUAAGAGUCUUAUUUUGUGCAUUCAGAACCAUUUUGAAUGAAUGAAUUGAGUGAUUUACAUGGACAUAAGGAGUUAGAAGUGAAGAACCUAAGAAUGCCGGCUCAUUGUGCUGAGAUUGUGCACACUUGUGGCUUGAGAUCAUCUGAAUUCAGAAAGUAUAUACUCGAAAAUGAUAUCAGUAACUUCACUGAUAUUAAGGCUGUUUAGCACAUAAGAGUAACUACUUUUCUGAAUCUUGAAGAUUGCUUAUUGAGUUCAAUUGAGAGUCUGAUUUCUAAUCUUCCGCUUUCCUCAUGCCAUGAAUUUCUGAUUGUCGUUGAUAGUUGAAAGAAUGAAAGUUGAAGAAGUUGUGUAUUAUGGUUAAACAGCUCUUGUUGUUCAAAGAAGACAAAGUAGAGAUCAUAGUAGACUCAAUAGUCAUGUUGCUUGCCUUUUUAUGGCAUCCAUCUUGGGCAAAAGUUUGAAGUCUCAAGUUUUGUCGUCUUCAGUUCAUUGAUCGUGGCUGACAUUCACUUGUCACUUGUGUAUACUAAAGUAGAAUUGUCAAUCCCCAAACAGUUAAGAUUUAACAUUCUUUGACUGAUGUUUUCUUUUUGAAUUUCAUGAACCAUAAACUUUGCUGGAACAGAUGGAGCAUGAGAAGGUGCCCUUAUCUAGAACGGAGAACCUGCACGAAAUUGAAAUCCCUAUAGUCUCUGAAAGUAUCGAUGUUCUUCAUGUGCCACAAAAGUUACCCUGCUCUUCCAUCUGCGCUUUCUCCAAGAAAGAAAGCAGUAGUAUGGAUUCAAAACAACGUUCAAAAUCUGCAACUAAACUUGGAGUACUCAUAAUUGUCUAUCUGUUGUUUAUGGUUGUUGAAAUUGUUGGUGGUGUAAAAUCCAACAGCCUGGCAGUACUAACAGAUGCAGCCCACAUGCUUACCGAUGUUAGUGGAUUUGCUAUUGCUCUUUUCGCCAUAAUUGCGUCAGGUUGGGAGGCAACAUCUGACCAGUCUUUUGGGUAUCACCGUCUUGAGGUUUUGAGUGCGCUUCUUUCGGUACAGCUGAUAUGGGUGGUCGCUGUGAUCUUGAUCUAUGAAGCAGUCGACAGAAUGCUUCAUGAGCAUGCAAAGGUAAAUGGGGUUCUCAUGUUUGCAGUUGCAGCAUUUGGAUUUUUGGUUAAUUUUAUCAUGGUAAUGUGGCUCGGCCAUGAUCACACUCAUCAUCAUCAUCAUCAUCAUCAGCACCAUCAUACCUGUGGAGACUUGGAUUAUCAUGAUGAUCAUGGUCAUAAUCAUGAUCAUGAUCAUGGCAAGGAAGAAGCAUGUACAAUAACUGAAGACGAUGAAACUAGCCUGGUGUCAAGUGCUCAAGUAAAGACUAAAAUAUUAAACAUAAAUCUCGAAGGAGCUUACCUGCAUGUUAUGGCUGACAUGAUUCAGUCGAUUGGAGUAAUGAUAGCCGGAGCCAUCAUCUGGGCGAAGCCAGAUUGGUUAGUUGUUGAUCUGAUCUGCACUCUCAUCUUUUCUGUUUUUGCUGUAAGCACAACUAUACCGAUGCUCAGAAAUACAUAUGGCAUAUUGAUGCAGAGAACACCAAGUGAGAUUGAUAUCAACAAGCUAGAGAAAGGUCUCAAGAGCAUCAAAGGAGUUCAGGAUGUUCAUGACCUACAUGUUUGGUCACUGACAGUUGGAAAAAUGGUAUUGUCGUGCCAUGUCACCGCGGAUCCUACGGUAGGCUCAAGUCAGAUAAUUGAUGAAAUUAGGGAUUUUUGUGAAAGAACAUACAGAAUACAUGAUGUUACUGUACAGAUUGAACAGUAGUGUGCAAAUUCAACCUAUCAGUUUCUGUCAUAGUUUUAACUUAUAAGUUUCACAUUUUGGCCCUAUAUAUCUCAGAAAGUUUGUCAAAUUGAAGCAAAUGCGACUCCUCUGCAUCAGCAAGCCUUUUUAACACCAUUCCGAUACAUCAAUUCCCAUAUGGAUGGAAAGUGAUGGAAAGGGGUGUUACAAAUAGGAGUGAAAAUCACCAUCAGCAUUUGCAAAUUUGCAAAUAGAAGAUGAUGAACCACCAGCAUUUGUAAAUAGAAGAUGAACUUUUAUUCAAGUCAAGAAGUAAUGAACAAAACACAAUAUGAAGCUCUGAACAAACAAGGUCUCUUUUGUUCCAUUAAUUCUUUAAUUCGAGAUGCCAAGUUUCCACCCAACAUUCCAAAUUUCAAUAGUUACAAUUUUUCAAACAUAAAUAGCGCAUACGGUAAAGCAGACCCCCAAAAAAGUACCAUAACCACUGUAAAUUUUGAUUCACAAGCUUCCUUAUCACAACUCAAUUAAGUAAAACUGUAUUCUACAUGGUUCUCCCCCUUUCACCCAAAAAGGAAGAAAAAACUAAAAAAUGUUUUAUCCAGCAAAUCCUUCUCCUCCCCUAGGUGUCAGUCAUCUGUUUAUGUAGAGCAGCAACCCCUUUUGUUCGUAUUCCCAGAAGCAUCACCAACAUUGAUAGUAGUUCCUUGACCAGGAAGGGUAGUGCUCGCGACUGCUUCCUGGGCUGCCAGUGCCUUUUUGCUAAUGAUAUGGUGGAUCUCUGUUAAAAUAGUUUGAAAUGCCUUCUCAAUAUUGGUUGCUCCAAGUGCUGAUGUCUCAAGAAAUGAGAGACCUUCCCUCUCAGCCAGUGCCUGACCAUCAUCCUCUGAAACAGCUCUAAGAUGGUUCAAGUCAGACUUGUUUCCAGUCAUCAUGAUGACAAUAUUAGAAUCUGCGUGGUCCCUCAAUUCACGGAGCCACCUUUGAACAUUAUCAAAUGUUGGGCGCUUAGUUAUGUCAUAGACAAGGAGAGCACCCACUGCCCCUCUAUAGUAUGCACUGGUGAUAGCACGAUAUCGCUCCUGCCCUGCUGUAUCCCAGAUCUGUGCCUUGACAGUUUUUCCUUCGACCUGUGAUUUCAAACAAGGAAUGUUAGCUUUGGAGAAAAUUGCAGACAAUUAUUCACAAACACCCAUGUGUCAUCAAUAAUUGUAGACAUAACCAUUGGACCACAAAUGGAGUUAUUUCUGGUCACCAACAUGCAAACGGACAGCAGAAAGUUCAAGAUAAAAGCUGUGUGUUUAAAGUUGUAUUUCAUUAACUUUCCAAACCAGUGGGUCCAGUAGACAGCAGUGUAGCACAUAUGGAUGCUUACCCAGAACCAGAAGAGUCAUAUGCAUAUCAACAUUUUUAUGAACAUAAGAAGUCCAGAUUCAACAUACAACCAAAACAUGAAGUUUAGAUUCUUGCUUUGUUCAAUACUACCAGGGAACCAAACCUACUUGUUUAUUCAACUAUGUCCUAGGCAUAUAUAGAUUGAAAUAUACAUUAAAAUGUGGGAACUCUGAAUGCACUAGCCUUAAGAAAGAAAAUGCCAUAAUUUCAAUUCCCUAAAAUCUCUAUUGGCAAUGUACAGCACUGAAGAGCCUAUAGCAAUAAAGGCAUCAGAGACUCUAAUUUGUUGCCUUCAUGUCAUACCCAUAGUUCAAACCUGCCUGGAAUAUGGCACUCACCUAUACAUGGCGCAUAAAAUCAAUAAGGACCAGCACCAAUUCCAUGAAAGUAUCUAAUAACAUGAUCACAUUCCAAUCAGUUCCCAAAGUCCAUAUGACAAGAAUCAAAAACACACAGCAACAUCGUGUAGGAACAGGGCAAAAGUAUAAUGUAAUUACUCCAAAUUAAAACACUUGGACAUUUGACGCCCUACAUUUUCGUCAAUGUAGUUGUUGACCAACUUUCCUAUUGGAAUCAGGCUGGUAUAGAUCUAAACACAAAAAACACAACUUUUGGCAUCUCAUUGUUGCAUGUAUCCACUAAAAUACAAAUCAUUUCGGUUUAAAUCAGCACCGGAAACUUAAUUCGGCCACCGUUAACCCCAUCUAGAGCUCAAUAACAACCUAUAACUAGCAAUUUCCUUAGCAUCUUCAACGAAUCCAUGAAAACAAAACUAAAAUUCAAACAAUCAUAACUUGAAAUGAACUCGAUAACCGGAACUGAAGAACAAUAAGAAGAGGUAGUUAGUUGCCUGAAGAGUUCUGGUGGCGAACUCGACGCCGAUGGUGGACUUUGACUCCAAGCAGAACUCGUUUCUGGUGAACCGUGAGAGAAUGUUGGAUUUGCCGACUCCAGAGUCGCCGAUCAGCACGAUCUUGAACAAGUAGUCAUACUCGUGGUCAACUCUGCUCGCCAUACCCUCCGAUCUCUCUCUAUCUCUCACCUACAAACAGAUCCCAAACCUCACUACACCAAAAACCAAAACAAACCAGAUCUGACUACAUAGAGAGAGACACCUCGCUUACCGGAGAAAUGCGAUCGCCGGCGUUGAAAUUCGCAGCGGUGAGGGAACCACUGUGAUGACUUUUUUUUUUUUUUUUUGGUAGAAGAGAAACGGAAAGAACGAUGAGGAAGAGAAGAACGGGGGUUUGAAAAGGGUUGAAACGGCGAAUAAAUAGAUUGCUUUUGAGGGGGGAGACGACGUCGUUUUAGGACAACUAGAGGGUCAAAAGGGUGUGACAGUGAGAUAGAUGCUCUCGUCUGACAUGUGCAGCCUGGCGGUUGGUGCCAGAAGGAUGUUUGUGAUUGCCUCCUUUUGGCUAUUAGUGUCUGCCACGCCGUUAAUUUUUUUUUUUUUCGAUUUUCCUUUUUUUAACUUUCUUCUUUUUGUCAUUUUUGGUUUUGGACCGUCGCAACUUUGCUAAAUAGACGGCUAAUAACGCGUGGCAUCCGAUUUCGACGGCCUACAUGAAUUUAGAAAUGAUUAUUUACAUUUUCUUUUUGUUUGGAAAAAUGAUUCUAUGAUCUCGGAUAACCCCACCUCAAUGACAAUCUUGUUUGAGAAAAGACUAUGAUCCUGCUAAUCAUUGGAAUUAUCUUGUUAUUAGGUUGUUUGUCCUACCAAUGAGAUGAAUACUUAGCAUUUUAUGUGAUGAAGUUGGUAGACAUCGACAACUAACAAGCAUUUUCCGAUAUUUACAUGUGUGUGAAUAUAUUUAGACCAAAGUCAAGUAAGAAGAUAAUAGUAACGAGGAUGAUUGUUCAAAAAUAUUAAGAGUGGGGUGUUUAGAGGAUAAGGAGAUAAUGUACUUUGCCCGCUAAGGUAUUAUUUUUUAGAGCAACUUUAACAGACUCUAUAUUUUAGCUUUUAGCUUUUAGCUAUUUUAGAGAGCGUGUUUAGUUUUUUUAGAUGUUUUAGGAGCUACAGCAAACUAGCUAAACUUGAGCUAUUUUAACUUUUAGUUAUCUCGCUAGCUAAAUGCGAGAUGACUCAAAUGAGGCUAGUUAUAAUUUAAUACAUUCCUUGUAAGAUAUUUUACGUGAUAUAUAAAUAUAUUUAAAUUAUUUAAUUUCUAGUUGAAGAAUAAUGUUGAUGUAAUGCUAGCUAAAAUAGAGAGCAUUGAUGCAGCCACAUUUCUAAAAUGGCUAGUCAAAAUGACAUUUUUGCUAAUUUGACUAAAAUUUAACUUUAAAAUGGCUAGUAUUGUUAAAGAUGCUCUUAGUCUAUGAAGUUCUAGUUAGUCAUAAGUCAUAAUUUUCAUAAUCUUCUAUGAAGUUCUAGCUACUCGUAAUCUUCGGAACCCAAACACAGCCCGACUCUGAUCCAGACUUAAUCUUUGGAUAUGAGAUUUGGAUUUAGUCAUUCAUUGCAGUAGCUAUACCGAUGAACUAUGUAAGUUUUUGGGAUCAAGCUUGAGAUCUAAGAGUUACUUGUGGAUGAUUACUUAAGCAUAAUGAUUACGUGACCUUGGCAUGGAAAUAAUGUUAAGGCAUUUAGCAAGGUAGUGUAUAGCUUAGGCUUUUCUUUUGCUGGAUUAGUGCUUGAUUUAGUGGCCUCAUAGUUGUAGUGUAUACAAAGUAAUGAAAAUGGAGCCAUCAAUAAUGAUUUGAAUCAUGUUACAAUCUAAUGAACUUAUUGGGUUUCGUAUAUACUUUCAUUAGUGGAUCUCUUUGUAAUCAUAUAGUACUAACAAACUCAAGUGAGUCAAAGUGUAAUAAUGAACCGUAUUAUUUGGCAACAGCAUGAACCGUAUCAAUCUUUUAUUCUAGGAAAAAAAAAAUCUGAAAAUGCUAAGAAGCAAAAGAAUAUCAAACAUAGGAAAAGUUGUCUAGUACCGUUUGAUUUAGUGACAUAAGUCUCUUCUUAGUCUAUUCUUAUAACUUUAAGUCUCUUCUUAAAGUUGGUACUGUAGUUGUUCUAACUGUUGGUUAUUAUUUAAUUACCCACAUCUUCAGAGAUGCCAACUUCUUAGCUGAUGUUUUAGCUUCGUGUGGGCACAGUCUUCCACUCCCAAGUUAUGGUUGAAUAUGCUCCCAAACACGUGUUAUUAUGCUUUUCAUUUAGAUUAUCUAAACUUUGGUUGCCUUAAAAGCUCGUCAUUGUAAUUUAUUUCGCAUCUAAAAAUAAAUAAGUUAAUGUCACAUAUUAUCAAUGGCUACUCGAGGACCCAAAGCAGUGUGGAUGUCGGGUUUUUGGGCGGCGGUGAUAUGGGUGUGGACGGAUUUUGGUUUCCUUAGUUGGAAUCUAAGGGUGCCGGAGAAGGCUGCAGUGAUGAUGAAUGGACGUAUGUCGGUUUGGGUACCGGCUGUGCAUGCUGAGGAUUAGGAUUGGGCCUGGACCUGGUCUCAAGCUUAGAGAGUGGACCUGGGCUAAUGGUCUUGUUAGGCUUGGGCUGGCAGAGGCUUCCUGGGGUUUGGAGAUGGUUGUUGGAUGGGGUUCCAAUAACUAGGAAAGUCUUCAGAUGUAGCGAUUGGGGAGAUCACUUUGACAGAAUGGCAGUAAAGGAGUGAAGUAACGUGCUCGGCAUUACAUGGUUUUAGAACCUAAGUUAAUUUAGGUUGUGGAGGCCUGGGGAGGUACACCAUAAGGGUCUUUGGGCCCUAGGCUCCUAUGUUAACUAACCAGAAAGUGUGUACUAUCGUUAACAAUCGAGUCUUUGUUUUAUAUUGACCUAGUGUUUCUGCAAGAUCCAGUAUACCUCGUAGAAGCCCUUGGCGUGAUCUCUUCCUUCGUUUGUCGUUGACUAGCUACCUGCAAGAGGAGACUGACCGGGACUUUCCGGUUUUUCUCUCUCCGAUGAUUAAGUUAGUUAUAUGGUUGGUAGAACAUUUAAUGCUAGGAGAUUUCUUACCGUUUUGGUUGACUUCAGCAUUGUAUUUAUAGCCACGCGUGGACUUCUUUCUCGCCUGUUAUACGAUGUGGGACAAAUAUGCUAUUGAGGUUUGCAUGUUUGGCCCUUUGUUGCUUGUUCCCUGCCCCGCCCAAACUACCGUGACUUCCAGGAUGACGCUUGCUCGGUCUGCCCCCCGCUGGGCUUUUGGUAACAUCGUGGGCCGAGGUAUUUACUUGAUACCGACUACACCUAGUUUUAUUUUUGUUGAGUUUUUUGGAUUUCUUGUUAAGUUUGUUUCCCUUUUCUAGGUUGUAACAUUGAGUCUUUAAGCAGUAAAGGGGGGUAGAAUAUAGGAGAGACAAACAUGUCCUUACUACAGAAGUAAGUCAUAAGCGACUAUACACUUACGGAUAUUUUUAGAAUACAAUGUGAAAUAUGUGAAAGACUAAUGUUGUAGUUGAUUAUAAAGACACAUCUUACACUCGAGAUUAAUCAGACUAUUAUCUCAAAAGUCGAUUACUAUGGACUGAGUCUAUGAGGAGAAGACUAAUGACUAUUCAAGUUUAGGUUUCGUUAGGGCAACUCCAACAAUGACCUUAUAAACCAAGACUGGUCUUAAAAUUAAUAAACUCAUCUCCAACAACACAAAAGAGGGGGAGCUAGUCUUAUAACUAUAGGACCAAGUCUUAUUCCGAGUCCUAUAUACAGGCAUAUUCCAAGACCAAGACCUAUGGGUCCCACUAGUGGCGUAGCUAGAAAUCGUAAUUAAAAGGGUCAUAAUCCAAACAAAAAUGGUAACGGUUAUACUAAAUAAAAGUUUUUAAUCCUUAAUUUAGAAUGAAAUAAUCUGUAAAAGUUUUUAAACUAUGCAAAGAAUGCAUACUUUAGUUGAAUUGAUGUAUUAAGUCCUAUAUCUUACUCUCAUGCAUUCAAGUCUAGCUUGAACUUGUUGGUUGUAUAGGAGAGAACAUUUUUUCAGUUACUUUAUAUAGGAGAGAACAUUGAGAAGGAAAGAUUUCAAUGAGAAGGAAAAGACAAUAAAAAACUAUAUAUAGAACUAUGGAAGGUUUCAGUCAUGAAUAAAAUAUAAUAAAUACAUAAAAGAAUUGUGGACUCAUGCUCCCAAAUUUAUGGCUAAACGGGGUCUUUCUCUCUCUCAAACAUGUCAGAGGGUUCAAAUCAUGUAUUAAACUGUAAUAUAUCUAUAAUUUGUGAACCAUCGAGGGCUUGUUUCAGAAAUUAAGAAGGGUCAGUUGACUCUUCUCGCCCUCCCCUGGCUACGCCCCUAGGUCCCACAUCAAUUCAGCUGAAUGACACACACACAUCAAUUUAAUUAAGAAUAGUCAAAAUAGCACCCCGUAUAACACUUCAUUGUUGGAGAUGAGAAACAAGUGGUGGUAUAUUAAGUAUAACACUCCAAAAUAAGACUCAUGGUUGAAGUUGCUCUAAGUUGGAUGACAUAAUUGCCAAUUUGUUACCCUAAUUUUCACCAUGGUGUCAAUUUGCUACCCUAAUUUUCAUUUCAACCAAUUUGCUACCUUAACUUUUCAUAAUUAGCCAAUUUGGUAUCUUAACUAUUAAAUCUGCCAAUUUGCUACCAUUCCAUCAAAUUUGCUACUUUAGGCUUUCAAUAUUAACCAAUUUGCUUAUCAAAAUUUCAAUAUCGACCAACUUUAACCUUCAAUUUUCAGAAUUAAUUCAUGUUUGGAUAAAGAAAUGAACAAAUUAAAACAACAAAAAGGUAGCAAGUUAGCUAAUUUUGAAAACAUAAAGUAACAAAUUGGCAGAAAUAAUAGUUAGGGUAGCAAAUUGGCUAAUUAUGAAAAGUUAGGAUAUCAAAUUGGCUGAAAUGAAAGAUAGGGUAGCAAAUUGACACUAAGGUAAAAGGUAGGAGUGCGGCUAUUGGGACCUCCAGAUUUGCUCAGUGUACCUCCACAUGUUUUGACUUAUUGGAUUACAAAUAUAACCUCAUACAAAAUGACAAUAAUAAACAUUGAAUUUCACAAAAAAAAAAUUGUAAUCAGAUUAGUAUUCUUUCCUUUUUUUUUUUUNNNNNNNNNNNNNNNNNNNNNUUCUUUUUUUUUUUUUUUGUUUCAAGUUAACGAUACAAAAUGUGAGGAGUCUAUAAACCCUAAACCUAAGUGCAACCGUUGCUCAAUCGCAAAGAACUACUGCACCAAAUGGAAGAAUCUCCAUUGAUGAAUACGCAAUUGGCCUUCUUAGGGUUUUCUUCUAGGUCAAAGGUUUCUGGGUUUUUAGCUUGCUUUAAUAUUUCAUCAGAUUUGCUUCAUGUAUACCUAUUUUCUUACUUUUGUAGUUACUAACUUACUAUACGUUCGGUCAUAAACACCACUUUGCUGCUUUGCAAUUGAUUGUGAAAACAAUUCAUGAUUUAAAUUUUUUUAAAUUGUUGUCAUUGAAAAAUCGUUCUUAUAACUUGAUCAAAUAAUAUAGAUUAAUGACAUUCUAUGCAAAAUAAAUAAAUAAAUAAAUAAAAAACAACAACAACAACAAGGAAUUGAGGUUGCAAAAGAGGUUUUCAUGAAAAAAGAGAAGAAGAAAAAAGAAUUCAAGCAAUCGAGGUCUGAAAUAGAUGUUUUCAUGCAAAAAGAAAAAAAAAUUAUAGUGUGGGAGGUCUAGAGAGCGAAUAAGAGGUAUAAUGAGUAAAUUAUUGAAAUAUAUAUGAAUAACAAAUCUAAGGUUAUUUUAGGAAUUUGAAAGGAGGUCUAAUGAGCAAAUGCUUGUUUUUAAAAUAAAAGGAGGUGUAAAGAGACAGGGAGGUACAAUGAGCAAAUAUGAAGGUCCCAAUAACUGCACUAAAAAGUAGGGUAACAAUUUAGCUAAAAAACCAAAUUGGAUNNNNNNNNNNNNNNNNNNNNNNNNNNNNNNNNNNNNNNNNNNNNNNNNNNNNNNNNNNNNNNNNNNNNNNNNNNNNNNNNNNNNNNNNNNNNNNNNNNNNNNNNNNNNNNNNNNNNNNNNNNNNNNNNNNNNNNNNNNNNNNNNNNNNNNNNNNNNNNNNNNNNNNNNNNNNNNNNNNNNNNNNNNNNNNNNNNNUCAAUAGCUACUGUACUUCUACAGUUCUACUAGUUUGUGAAUUUUGAAAACUUGUAUUGGUGAUUUGGAGUUGGGAUAUAACAAUAAUCAUUUGAUUAUAAAUUGAAUGAUGAUAACAAAAAAUUUCUAGUAAAAAAUUGGACGAAAUAAUAUGUAAAAAGAGGUACCAAAUGGUAAAUAUACAUUAAUUAUAUUAAAUAAUAGAAUAUUUCAUAAAUUAAGGGCAUUUUAGGCAGUUUGAGAUGUGUAUUAAGUAUAAUACUGAAAUGAAAAACUUGAUAGGUGAUGUAUUAAGUAAAGGGUAUGUAUUAAAAUAUUAAGAGUGUGUAUUUAAAAAUUUCUCUUACACUUUUACUCGGUUCUUAUAUUUUCUCUGUAUAUGAAUUCCUGAUGUUGUUGAAAAAUAUUAGUUGUAGCAUAUAGUUGUUUUUUUAUAUAAAAAUAAAUAAAAAUAAUAAUCUGCCGGAGUGAAAGCACGCGCUCAAAACCAGUGUGAGGGGGUAGUAGAAUAUAGGAGAGACAAACACGUCCUUACGCUGAAGCAAAAUCGAGUCACUGAGUUUCGAUUUCCCUUCUCUCCCUAAAUCGAAACUCAAUCUCGCCUCCUCAAAGAUGAAGAAGGAAGACACCGUGAAGCUGAUCAGCGCCGAGGGCUUCGAAUUCGUCGUCCACAAAGACGCCGCCAUGGUCUCCCAGACCAUCCGCAACAUGCUCACUUCUCCAGGUCUCUCUCUUUCUUUCUUUCUUUCUUUCUCUAAUUAGUUGCGAUUAGAGGAUUUAGGGUUUGAAAUUUUGAAAAUUUGGGCAGGGGGUUUUGCCGAAACCGAACUCGGCGAGGUCACGUUCCCGGAGAUCAGCACCACCAUUCUUGAGAAGAUCUGCAAGUAUUUCUAUUGGAAUCUUCAAUUCGCCAGGUUUCGAUUCUCUGUUUCUACUUUUGCUUUCGAAUUUUACAGCUUCGAUGAUAAUUCCUAAUUGCUGAUAUAGGUCACUGUACUGGCUGUUGUUUCUGAAUUGAACAUUAUAUUUGAUCGAUGUUGAAAUUUAUAGGCUUUUAAGUUUUAAAAAAUUGAAAUUUAUAGGCUUUAAAUUUUAAGAAAGCUUCACCUUAGUAGCUCACCAGGCUUAGCAUAUCUUAAGUUAUAUCACCAUUAUAAUUAAAAUUGAGUGUCAAAGUAAUGAAUGAUUGUUAGGCCACCAAACCAUUUGUGAACUUCUAAAGUUUAUUUCUUUGGAAAAAAAAGAAGAAAAAAAGGUCCGACCUUUAAAAAUGAGAGAAAAUUAGGUAAUCUAGGUACUGUGAUAAUGUUACAAAGAACAUUUCCUUAAGUUGGUGGUUUAUUUACUUUUUGCGGUUUUCUUUUCUUUUGUCAUGAUGUGGCUAUGGUCUCCUAUAGAAAAGAAUAAUGUGUUCCAGACAUGAUUACUUAUGGAGUAAUGAACUCAUCAAAUUUGCAUCUAACAACUGAAGCAACAUAAAAGCUGGCAACAGAGAAGUAAGAGUGAGGUGGUAUAAGAAUUAUAUUGGUUUGGUAAACCAUAUACUUUGUAUGAUAAAUGGAGUUGAAUGCCGGUUUAUUAUCUGGAUAUUGGUUGAAUCUUGAGUUGAAUAUGGUCGCUAGUUAGAACUUAAUAUUUGAUAGUUUGAUGGGAAAUGCUACUUUACUUUUUGCUCUCUCUUUUUACAUGAUUUGUAUUGUUGACUGUGUGCAGUGGUAAGCAAACUGAGUUUCACAUUGAACCAGAACUGACCCUGGAGCUGAUGAUGGCAGCCAAUUAUCUUCAUACAUGAGUAUAUCAUUUCUCCCCAGCCUUGUGGUUGAACCCUAUAUGUAAUGUAAGAUAACUCUUUGGUACCAGUUUCGUAGUCUUAAUCUCUAUUGAUUAUGUUCUAAGUUAACUUCUUAGUUUUUUUCCCCUGUCUUUGUUUAUGACUACUUGUAGUGAUUUCCCACGAGGAUGGAUGAGGAUAUGGCUGUACUCUGCUUGAAGACCUUAGGAAUUUCUAAAUGGUGUCGAGCACCAGAAUUUUCAACUAGACUGCAAUGUAGUAUAUGUAUGAUGAGGUUCUCUCACUUGGAUUUGGAACAGUAUGAGAUCCAUUGUAGUAAAACUCAGUCAGUUACAACUUAUUAGACAAUGUGAGAUUCCUCCGUUAAUGUUAAUGCUUAGUCUUAGACAGACGAACAUAAUUUACAGUAAAAUCUUUUAUAUCAGAGCUGUUGCUAGUCAACUGUGCUUGUUGGCUCAGAGAUAAGUGAAGUUACCCUCUAGCUCUUGAUAUUCUUGGAGGUAUAACAUCACAAACCCUUUUAUGGAGUAGGUUUGUUGCUUUGGAUGUGAUGUCUGAAAUUCAGUUUAAUUUCUUUUCCUUUCCCUUUUUUGGUUUAAAAAUUAAGGACACAGUUGGCUGCAGUCUGCAGAGGUGUUCAAAGUUUGAAAGUAAUAUGUUCUGUAUUGGUCAGUUUUCCUCCGAUGGUGUUCGGAUGACAAAAAGUAAACAACUCAGGAAUUGGUAUAAAGCUGUCUUGCUGUUCUGGAUCUGCCAGGCAAGAACAUGUCUGCAUUCUCUACAUGGUAAUGCUUUCUAGACGUGAUCCGCCACCCCAGAGCCUUUUCGGGGGUCUCCCAAAAUGCUCUAGUAUCUGAGUGCCAAAUCUCAAAACGGAUGUUUAUACUCUAAAGUUGCCAAUCUUUAGAUGGAAUUGGGCAUAAAAACUGGCUUGCAGUUUGAAGUUAGAGCAGUCUCUGAUCCUGCUCGCUCAUGAAGGGAAGGGGUUCAUGUUAACUAAAGUACCCCAAAUAAAAAAACAACAAUAAGCUAUUCCCCUAAAAAUAUGGCAUUCAUCAGCUUCCUCUCAAACAACUAUAAACUAUGGCGCCCUUCACACUGAAGGCCACGAACUCAUCAUGUUCUCACGCAUCUUUCGAAUUUCAUGUUUUCAUUUACUGAAUGACACUGCGCACUUCUGGGAACUAGUCUGUUCUGGAAACUAGUUCCCAAUCACAAAAGAUCAAAUCAUUUCAUGCCAGGGCUUAAUCAGUAGGAAGGUCUACACUGUAAAUAAUCACUCCAACAUGGGCUGCAGUCACCACUGUCACAUUGUGUUCCUCCAUUCAAAUAAGGGUUACUUUUCGUCUUCCUUUCUUCUGGGUUUUUUUUUUUUUUUUUUUGUCUCCCUCGGUGAUUGAUUACAACCUAGAAAGAGAUUAGAAAAACAUGGAUUCUUCAUUCUUUGUACUUGGUAAAAAUAAAAUUUGGAGUUGAUCUUGUGAUUGAAACAUCUAGAGUUCAUCUUUACGUUUAUGGCAUUGACAUUAGAGUAGAUUGUGUUUGAGAACCUCUAUGGUGAUGGUAGGCUAGAUCUGCUAUAUGCAUACAUGGUAAUGGGUUUAGGAUAGUAAUGACUGGUUCAUUGUUCUUACUGUUUACCUUUUGCAUUCCUGUCCAGAUCAGCCACAUCCAGCCUUGUGUUUCAACUUUAAACCAUUCGGGGCCUGAAUUAAUGCUAAAUAAAUCUGGUUGUAUAUAUGCAAGCCUCAAAAGGUACACAGAGAAGUUCAAAGAUUGUUCUAAUGUAUCCGAAUGUUUAUGUCUGAAUUUUUUUUGGCUGUUACUGCAUAUGCUUUGUAUUCUAGAUUUCUAGUGAAGCCCGAAAUCCAGGCUUUUGCGACUAAUUUACACUCAUUGUUUUACUGUCUACGCAUAUCUGUAAUUCCAUUAUGGACCUUUCUGGUGAAUUUGGAUAUGGAAGCAUACAUAUCAAUCCUGUAAAAGCUAUAAAUCCAGGGCUUGUGUAUGACACUAUUAAAGCAGAUUAUAUAAAGGUUGCUGUGCAUGAGCUAUAAUGAAAUGAGGAGAUAACACCACAUGCCCUACAGGGUUCUGACAAAGGAUCACCAAGGAAUCAUUAUUAACUUUCAGGGGGAGCUAAAGUUAAACCCAUGGAAUCUAGUAGUAGACUAGAGUUAAACAUGUUGGCCUUGCAAAAUCCACUUACAAGGCCAAAAUCUUCUCCACAUCGUAAUUUGAUAUCAGGGUGGUACCUAAGUACCUUAUGCUCUUUCCUUCAAGUCCUUGAAUGAGGAGAAGACUUUUAAUGCAACUGUUGUGGGGAGCAGUUUGCCAGAUAGAUCACAACUCUUUGCAUCAUUGGUUUGAUCUGAUGGUACUUGCAGUGUUCGAAGUCCAGUUGUUGUAUAUGCAAAAAAGGAUUAGUACCUUAGAGCCUCUGUAAUGAUUGCAAUGUCAAAUGAGUUUGAAUGAAUAAGAAUUAGUGAAUUCAAGAUAUCAAUAACUCUCUUGGACCCUAUAGUUAUUUACCGUGAGUCUUUGUCUGCUUGUGUCAAGUACUCAAGUGCAGACUAAUUUAUGAUGUAAACUGUGGAGUGCUCACAAUUUUCUCACCACCUUUACAGAAUUGCAGAGUGAAGGUAUCAAUUUUUUCCCCACCUCUGUCUCUCUUUAAUUCUCUCCCAUUUCUUACUUUAGAUCAAGAAGAUAAGUUUUGCAUACUUACAUGAAUUCCUGUUUUUCUACUAGGGAAUCAAGGGUGGUUUUCUUUCCAGGUUAGCCAAGAAUCCAAACUCUGUAAUAUCAAAUUCUUGUUGAUUAUUUAAACAGUCUUCUUUAGCACCCAGAAAAGAGCACUUUAAAUUUAAUUUUGAGUGAGUUACUUUAAAUUUCAAAAGAAUCAUUAAUUGUGCUUCAGCUAUAUUUGAAAUAAACGGAAAAUUUAAGUCUCAUUGUCUUUCUGGGAUCUGACUGAUACUGUGCUGGAGUGCAUGAAUAUGACUUCCUUUUCGUGACAAAUAGUGCUUUCUUAUAUGGUAUAUAAAUGAAAUGUAUUUGAAUAUUUUCUUCAAUACAUGGAAACCUUAACUUUGCAAAAAUGGUUUUGUUCCACAUCCUGCUGGCUGGCUGAGUUAGUAGAAUUUUGGUGGAAUGAAUUGAUGUUCUUUUGUCAUUAAUGCAUAUUGUGUCCAGGUGAGCUAAAUCCAGCUAUAGUGUCAUCAGUGUUGAAAUAUACAGAAGGUACAUAACGUACUAAGAAUUCAUAGUUGUCGGACGAGUCAUUUCUGUAAAGUAGCUGUACUUUCGAAAACACAUUUGAAAGGUUUCAGUUUAAAUACUCCUUCCCUGAAAUGUUUGAGAAUUUGAGUCAUUUGACAAUGGCUAAGCAUGGAGUUCUUCUGUCUUAUCACUCCUUCUCAGUUCUCAUCAUCACUCUGAGUUUGUUAUGCAGAGCUACUUGUGACGAUAAAAAGGUAAGGAAAUGCAAAUAAUUGUGUUCUCUUAUACUAGGCUAUUCAAUCUGUCUAGUGAGACGAGUUCUGAAUAGAUAUAUCAUGAUGAUGCAGGUCUAUAUUGUGUAUUUGGGAUCACUGCUUUCUGUUGAAUUGUACUCGCUGUCAUCUCACCAUCUUAGUAUUCUACAGAAAGUUGUUGAGGACAGGUUGUCUAUCUAGGUUUUGAGCAUCAUUGUUUCUGUCUUAUUUAUAAGUCAGUUCUUAUGUCUCAUUCAUUUCUUUCUCAGUUCUCCUGAAAAUGUUUUGGUAAGAAGUUACAAAAGGAGUUUCAAUGGAUUUUCUGCGAGACUCACUGACCAGGAAAGAGAAAAACUUUCUAGUGAGUGACCUGAGACACUUUAUUUUUAUACUAUUUUAAUGAGGUUAUACUGUUUUGGUUUGAGAAGUCAUCAUGUUCAUGUUUAAACUGUGACUGCAGACAUGAAGGAAGUAGUCUCUGUCUUUCCAAGCAGAACAUUGCAACUUCAAACAACAAGAUCUUGGGACUUCAUGGGAUUCAGUGAGAGAAUUGGUCGAAAUUCCACGGUUGAGAGUGAUAUUAUUGUGGGUGUCAUUGACAGUGGAAUUUGGCCUGAAUCUGAUAGUUUUAAGGACGAAGGUUUUGGUCCUCCUCCCAAGAAGUGGANNNNNNNNNNNNNNNNNNNNNNNNNNNNNNNNNNNNNNNNNNNNNNNNNNNNNNNNNNNNNNNNNNNNNNNNNNNNNNNNNNNNNNNNNNNNNNNNNNNNNNNNNNNNNNNNNNNNNNNNNNNNNNNNNNNNNNNNNNNNNNNNNNNNNNNNNNNNNNNNNNNNNNNNNNNNNNNNNNNNNNNNNNNNNNNNNNNNNNNNNNNNNNNNNNNNNNNNNNNNNNNNNNNNNNNNNNNNNNNNNNNAUUGGUGCGGACGUCCGCAGCUGAGAAAAUCCGUAUAUAUAUAUAUAUACACAGUUCCUAUCCAGAGUGAAGCUUCACUUUUAAAUUAAAGUGUGAAGUUCCUUAUUUGACCCACUUUUCGGUCAUAUUUCCAUAUGUAUAUAUAUAGAUAUCUAUCUACAGUACUCUAGUGAUUGUCAUUUUUCAUACAAAUGCUGUCUAGUUUUGUAAACUGUUGAUAACUCGCAUAGCUAAAUUGCUGACAUAUAAUAAAAGAAAGAAAUAGAACACACAAAUUUUACAUCAGUUCGCAAAACUGUAAUUAAGGGAUUGGGAGAUUGGAAAUGUGUAUCAUCAUAUCAAUCCUUGCAUAUGAUAGACAUUCUAAUGGUAAUAAAAAAACAUUGGUUCUAUUCUAACUUUGUAACACAGGCAACCUAUAUAUAUCAGGUAGCUUUACAUACUAUCUAUAGUGUUUUUUCUUACAAUACCUGAUCAAGUUUUAUAAAAUCUUUUAUUUUUGUUUUUUAUUUUGCAGCAAGCUUAUUGGAGCUCGGUAUUACUCAUCAACGGAGUCUGCAAGGGAUGACACGGGUCAUGGAACCCACACUUGCCUCAACGGCAGCAGGAAAUGCUACAAGAGAUGUAAGCUUUUAUGGACUAGCACAAGGUACUGCAAGAGGAGGAGUUCCCUCUGCAAGAAUUGCUGCAUACAAAGUCUGUACUGCAGGCACAUUGUGUAGCGCACAUGAUACCUUGGCUGCUUUUGAUGAUGCAAUUGCUGAUGGAGUUGAUAUUAUUACAGCUUCAGUUGCAUUUAGUAUGAUCCAAGAAUUUGAUGUGGAUCCUCUUGCAAUUGGUACUUUUCAUGCGAUGGAGAAAGGGAUACUAACCUCACAUGCUGCAGGCAACAAUGGACCUUCCGGUGCUACUGUAUCAAGUGUAGCACCUUGGGUGCUUACAGUUGCAGCCAGUAGCAUGGACCAGCGGAUCAUUGACAAGGUUGUCCUUGGAAACGAAACCACAGUAAUUGUAAGUUUCAACUUCCUUUAUCCUCAAAAUAAUCUUUUAUCUAUAUUUUCUAUUCUGAUUUCUGUCAUGUACUUUCUAACAGGGGAAUUCUGUGAACUCUUUCACAUUAAAUGGUACAAGUUUUCCUUUGAUACAUGGAAAAGAUGCUUCAAGGAAUUGCACAGGAACAGAAGCAAGGUAAUUAUUGUGCACAUUUCAUUUUAACUGUGAAAUAAAGGAAAUAAUAUGAUGCUAGCUAGAGGACCAAUUUGUUGAUUUGCAGAGAUUGUGAACAAGGUUACCUGGACAGUGAUCUAGUGAAGGGAAGGGUUCUCCUAUGCGAUAGAUACAGACUUCUUGAAGCAUUUCAAUCUGGUGCACUGGGUUCCAUUUUGCCCAAGUUUCGAGUUGUUGAUGAUGCCUCUUAUGUUCUCCCAUUAGCUGGCAUGACUAUAAACAACGAAAACUAUAAUGUAGUGAUGUCCUACAUGAACUCCACCAGGUUGAGAUAAUUUUUGAUACUAAGGUGAUUUUCUCAUGAAGUUUAUAAUUACUUUGUUUAAAUACAAAGGUCUCCUAUUUUAUAGAGAUCCUCGUGUGAACAUAUUAAAAAGUGAAGUCAUCAAAAAUCCUGCUGCACCUGCUGUUGCUUCAUUCUCCGCACGUGGACCAAAUCUAAUUUUACCUGAUAUUAUUAAGGUACUGUGUAUGUUUCAAGGUUCACAUACAGUUAUGUAGGCUUUAAUUAAUAAGCUUUAAUUUUUUUUCCUAAACAGUUUUCUCCUAUUGUGUUUCAGCCAGAUACAAGGCCAUCUCCAGUAAUAGAGGCUAUAGAGCUAAAUCCUAAAUUUUGGCCUUAUUUUGAUCUCCAACAAGAACUUAGAAGAGGGUCAAAGGGCCAUAAAAGGGCCAAAGGGCCAUCAAAAGGGCCAAACAUAGCCUUUUGGCUAGCCUGGGCCAAACCAAAUUGUGGUCCCAAAUGAAAUUAAAAAAACUAAAAGUAUGCAUAUUAGUUGAUUGAUGAAUACUCAAAUUAUAACAAUUGUCAACUUUCUAUUGGAUUAUUUCAUUCUCAUCUCAUUACAACUGGUAAAUUCUCUCAACCCAAAAUUCAUACGGCUAAUAUCUUAUUUUAUUAAUAUAAUAGUUAAUUUAAAUAUUAGUAAUUUGGUCCAAAUUCAAAUAAUGUUAUAAUAAAAUAAAUCUAUAAGUCAGAAAUUAUAUGGUAUCUACCCGUAUGUGAUACAAUGUGACAAUAUAUUUGUAUUUAAAGUGAAAAAUAUUAAAAAGUAUAAUGUGAAAUCAUAAAAUAUUCAAAAGAGCUAAAAUUUGGCCCUCUCUUAUUAGAGAUCAUUUAGAAGUCUAUAAAUAAAAAAUAAUAUUUUUGAGGACUAAAUUAUAGCCCUGGCCCCAAUAUAGCCCUCUCCUGCUGGAGAUGGCCUAAGUGCCCCGGGGAUUGAAAUUUUUGCUGCAUUUUCUUCUGCUUCUAUCUCAACCACACCUGGAGAUAUGAGGCGUGUUAACUACAAUAUACAAUCUGGAACCUCUAUGUCUUGCCCCCAUGCUGCUGGUGUAGCUGCCUAUGUUAAAACCUUUCACCCUGAUUGGUCUCCUGCGGCCAUCAAAUCAUCUAUUAUGACCACUGGUAUUCUCUUCAUUUUAUUUGGUACAUGAAUGCAUUGCUGUAUGUUUCUGGAUUAAGCAGCUGUUGCGCGCUUAUACAUAUUUUCAUAAUGAAUCUACCAAAACUUUUUCUGCUUGUAGCUUGACCCGUGAAUGAUCCCAGCAGCAAUGUCUCCACUGGUGAAUUCGCUUAUGGAUCAGGCCAUAUCAAUCCUUUGAAAGCUAUUGACCCCGGGCUUGUGUAUGAUGCUUCCAAAGAAGAUUACAUAAAGUUUCUGUGCAUCAGCUAUGAUGAAAGCAGAGUUAGACUUGUAUCAGGAGGUAACAGCACAUGCCCUACAGGUCCUGACAAGGGCUCUCUGAAGGAUCAUAAUUACCCUUCGAUGGGAGCUAAAGUUACCGCAAUGCAACCAUUACAGUUGCAUUUAAUAGAAGAGUUAAAAAAGUUGGCAUUGCAAACUCCACUUAUGUAGCCAAAAUCUCCCCCAGUUCCAAACUUGAAAUUAAAGUGGUGCCGGAAGUUCUAUCCUUCAAGUCCUUAAAUGAGGAGAAGACUUUUAAUGUCACUGUUUCUGGAAGCAAUUUGCUAUUUGAAUCACGAGCAUCUGCUUCACUCGUUUGGUUUGACGGUACUCAUUGUCAGGACCCACCCCAAAUUUCACCCUGAAACCCGAAGUAAAUCCUGCGGGGACCACCUCAAAGGAAAGUUUACCGAAAAAUCGGUAUAACCUCCCUUGAAAAUGAACAACUCUUCCUAAUAAAAAUACAUGCAUACAUUUCAAAAGAAUCCAUCUAUAACCCUCUCCUCCUGGAGCCUUCGUGCUCCCCACAUCACAACAUCUCCCAAUUUAUUUACUAACUUUAUAGAAAAACUCAAACCAACCAUCACAAGUUCAGAGCAACUCUAUUAGAGGAGAAAUGAACUAAAAAUAUAUAAAUGAGCGGAAGCUAUACUAUUGACUAUACCUCGUCUCCAUGUACGUCCGACCUCAACUAUGCAAUCCUGCAAACUAGGCAUUUUUAAAAUGAAGGGUCCAGGGGAAAAUAUUUGAAACCGUUAGAGUGAGUGGACAAAAUGAAUUUAAUGAAAAUAUUUAUGCUUUCCCAAUUUAAAUUUCCAUAAAAAUUAUGCUGCAUGCGACAGCUCAAAAGCUCAACUCAUAAACUGGCAAUUUCAUGACUAGCUCCGGCUAGUCACCAAAUUUAAUAAAAUGAAACCUCUCAGGCUAAAGUAAUAUGUAUAAAUAUGUAUGUAUUUACACUCGUCAUAUUCCUUGUAUGAAUUUUCUUGAAAACAACAAAUAGAGAUAGAAAUUCACACAAGGCUACAACGCUUGCGUCUAACGCUCACGUCGCGCCAUAAUGGAAUUUUACCUCAUUAUGGCGGAAAAGACAGUGUUUAUAUACGCGCAUAUCCCCUAUAAAAAUUCUUAUAUUUAUAUAGGGCUACGACGAUUGCGUCUAACGCUCACGUCGCGCCAUAAUGAAAUUUUACCUCAUUAUGACCGAAAAGCACGUAUAGCUAGCUAGUAUUUAUUUAUAUACAUACUAUCCUCAUAAUAUCUACAUACAUGUCCACCGAAAAUCUCAUUUUCGGUAACUUCCAAAAUAAUGAAAAUUGUCAAUUAUAAAAGAAGCAAUAAAUAUAUGACUCCACCGAAAAUCUUAUUUUCGGUAACUUUCCAAAUAGCGAAGUUAACAAAUAAAAUAAGAGCAUUUAUUUCAAAAAAAUAACUUCGCAAAAAUAAACAAUUCCACAAAUUGAUAUUCAUCAAUAAAACAUUUGCAUGCACAUCAUUUAAAACAAAAGUCCACUCACAACUUUAGGCAUAAGCCCGACGAAAUCCAAUUUGCCACUCAAGUGAGGUCUUCUCAAAUCCUAGCACAAAAACAAUGCUUAGGACCAAACUCAAAUUUCAAAAUAAAUAAUACUUAAAUAUAUAACCUAAAACUCUUCCGCCUAAUCCACUACCCUUUCUAGGGUUAAGCUUAUCGGAUUAACGCCAAAAUCCAACCACAGCCUUAUUUCCUUUAUUUCAACAUUCUAAAACAAUAAUAAGGAAAAUCCAACGGUCGGAUUCUACCCCAUUAACCGCCAUAUUCACCAAACUUUGAAAAAAUCCCAAAACUAUCCAAAACUCCUUCAAAAAUUCCACACUUCACAUCAAUAAACUCCCCUUAAUAUUACACAUUUAAAACCCUGAAAAGCCCCCUUACAGUAGCGGCGGCCGGCGGCCGACUCCGGUGACUCCCAAUGGCUACUAAAUUUUAACAGCAUCAUCCUCUCAACAUCCCAAACAACUUUCAUAACUAUCACUAAGUCCAAUUUCAAGCCUAAAUAGGGUAAUCGAAGCCAAACAUAACAAGAAAACCCUAGGAAAUUCAAACACCCGAUUCUCCUUACCUAGCUCGAGUUAGGAUGUAUCUUUUUAGGGGUUUGCUGCUGGAAGGGAGAGCUUCAAGACGAUACCGGCAGCUUCGAUUUUGAUGGCUGGAAAAAGGAGUUCCGGCGAGAACACCUCCGCGGCACAGCCGCACCUUCCUAGCGAUUGUGCUCCCUCACGGCGGCGCGACACCGGCUGCCACCUACCUAGACUUGUAGAGAAUGCUCCCAGCUUCAAAUUGAUACCAAGCACGCCUCCUAUCUCGGUCGGACGACGGCGGACGGCGGCCGGAAAGUCCGGCAGCGGGAGAGGGAGAGAGUCGGGAGGGAGAAGAGAAGAAAGAGAGAGAAAUGGUUUGGGCUUCUACUCUCAACCGGUCCAAUACCACCAAAUAAACCCAACUCCACAAAUAAGACACCCCAAAAAUAAUACCCUAAUAAAAAUUACCUUUUACUAGCUAAAAUUUACCAUUUUUACCGUCGUCACCAUUUCCUCCUACGAAUAAUUCCUCAAAAAUAAUCGUCCCUCAAAACCCUUCUAGGGACCAAAUAAACUAUAAUCUCAUUGAUGAAGACGGUAAAAUUCUUAUUAAUACCAAGCUAGUAAAUAAGGUAAAAAUUUAAGAGUCGGGAUCUGACACUCAUAGUGUUAGAAGUCCAAUUGUUGUGUACACUGUGCCUAGAGCAUGAGUGAUGAGAUAUGCAUUGAGAUGAGUUGUGGAAAUUUGUUUGAGCUUUCAGAUAUAAUGAACAGCUCCAUGAUAAUAAUAAAGAUAAAGUGCAGCUUAUCUGUACCUGGGGAAAGGUAAAUUUCUGUGUUGAAAACUUCAUAUUACUCUUCUGGUGGAAAGAUUUAGUUAGAUAUUUAUUAUAGAUAUUUAUUGUAGCUGCCAAAUAUCAACUUUGAUUCCAUAGAAAACAUAACUGUGUUGCUUUGUAUCUCUUUGCAUUCUUGAGUAGGAAAAGUCUAAGAUGUUGCCUUUCAACAUCUUUGCAUUUUUAUAAUUCUUUCAACCACUUUUGCCUUUUCAGUCAAUAAAGAAAAGAUCUAUUUCUAUUUUUUAGAAGUCUAUUUUGCAUUAGUUUAGACUAAAACUCAUUCCGUCAAUCACUCGUUGUAUGAACCAGGCUUAUGCAAGAUCAGAAGUUAGAUAUCAGGGACAUAGUACUGCCAACUGAUCUCAUAUAUCAUUAUUACAUAUAUGGAAGGCUCAUCAUAUCAUAUGGAUCUGAAGUAUAGUUAUGAGUCAAAUAUAUAGCUUUAUUUAAUUCCAUAAAUGAAAAUUAGAAAGAAAGGGAUACAUAAUCUGAUACUUGCAGAGGUUAGAUUUUGCCAAAGUCCCAGUAUAAAGUUGUCUGUGGCUGUUUUAUUGUUCUGAGCAUUCAAUAAUGGCCAAGCAUGGAGAUUUUCUGCUUUCUUAUACUUUCCCCAUUCUCAUACUCAGUUUGAGCUUACUGUGCAAAGCCAAUGAUGAAGAUAGGAAGGUAGGAGUUCAUCUUAGUUGGUUGCAGACUUAUAACAUGAGUUUUUUCAUCCAAUCCUAAACAUCUUGAAGAAAUCGCCGUUUAAUGUUGUAGGUUCACAUUGUGUACUUGGGGUCACUUCCUAAUACAGUGUACUCACCAUCGUCUCACCACCUUGAUAUGUUACAGAAAGUUGUCCAGGGAAGGUACAUAGGUUCUACAUCUGAUGAUCUGAAUAUUUAAGAUUAAUCAUUUGUCCUUCCGGGUAAAAGGAUUUCUUUGGUGUCAUACUUUUUCUGUUGUUCUCUGCAGUGGUUCUCUUAAAAAUUACUUGAUCAGAAGCUACAAAAGGAGUUUCAAUGGAUUUGCUGCCAAGCUGACUGACCAGGAAAGAGAAAAACUUGCUUGUGAGUGCUCCUAGACAUUCAUAUGAUUAUAAAUAGAGCAAUAUGGUUUGGUACAUACAAAUAUAAGUGUAUAAACUGUACAUUAAUGCAGAUAUGAAGGAAGUAGUCUCCAUCUUUCAGAGCACAAAAUUUAAACUCCAAACAACAAGAUCUUGGGAUUUUAUGGGAUUCAAUGAGAAAAUCAACCGAAAUGUCACUACAGAGAGUGAUGUAAUCAUUGGUGUGAUUGACAGUGGAAUUUGGCCUGAAUCAGAGAGCUUUCAAGACAAAGGCUUUGGUCCGGUUCCUAAAAAGUGGAAAGGUGCUUGCAACGGAGGCAAGAAUUUCACUUGCAACAAGUAUGUAAAUGACUUUGAUCACUACAUAUUGCUUGGGUAGCUAAGCACUAGAAAAGGAGAUUGAUCAAUUAUAUGGACUGUAAAUGUUGCAGCAAACUGAUUGGAGCUCGGUAUUACUCAUCAAUACAGUCUGCAAGAGAUGAAGUUGGUCAUGGAAGCCACACUGCUUCAGUAGCAGCAGGGAAUUCUGUGAAGGAUGUAAGCUUUUACGGAUUAGCACAAGGUACUGCAAGAGGAGGAGUUCCUUCUGCAAGAAUUGCAGCAUAUCAAGUAUGUGAUUUGGAUUCGUUCUGUAGUGGACAUGAUGUGUUGACUGCUUUCGAUGAUGCCAUCGCUGAUGGAGUUGACAUUAUUACAAUUUCCAUCGGAACAGAUCUUCCAUCUGAUUUUUAUAAGGAUCCUAUUGCAAUUGGUUCUUUUCAUGCAAUGGCAAAAGGGAUACUGACCUCCAACUCUGCUGGCAAUGAAGGCCCUGCAGGAGAUACCGUGUCAAGUGCAGCACCAUGGACACUUACCGUUGCAGCAAGUAGAAUUGAUCGUCGCAUCAUUGACAAGGUUGUUCUUGGAAAUGGAAGCAUAAUAGUAGUACGUGUCUCUGACUUCCUCUACCCUUAAUAAAAACUUCACAGCAUACUUAUUCUAGAUUUUUUGUCGAAAUAGCUAAUUGUCUUUGCAUACACACAGGGGACUUCAGUUAACACUUUCACGUUAAAUGGAACAAAUUUUCCUCUGAUAUAUGGACAAGAUGCUUCACGUCAUGAAUGCUCGGAUUCCCAAGCUGGGUGAUGGUUCCACCCUAAGUCAUAUGUAAACAAUGUUGUAAAGGAAAUAAUAAUAAGUUAAAGUAUUGAUUUCUUGCACCUCAGGUAUUGUGAUGAAGACUGCCUUGACAGUGAUGCAGUUAAGGGAAAGAUUGUGCUAUGUGAUGCAUUCGAUGAAUCAGAUGUUGUAGCUCUUAAAGCUGGUGCACUAGGCUCUAUUUUAAAUAAUGAUGGAACUGGUGAUUUUUCUAAUGUUCUCUCAUUACCUGCAAUAGCUUUAAGCCAUGAAAACUAUAUUGCAGUGAAGUUUUACAUGAACUCCACUAGGUAUGGUAUCAUUUGGAUAUUUGAUCAUAAUCUGGUUGUCUCAUGGUGUUUUCCUGAAAUGAUUUACUCUAGACUUUUGUUCAUAGAGAUCCUCGAGCAAACAUAUUAAGAAGUGAAGUCAUAAAUGACGCUGCUGCACCAAUUGUCGCUUCCUUCUCUUCACGUGGACCGAAUCCAAUUACACCUGACAUCAUAAAGGUAGAUGCUUAUCGUUCAUAGAUAUGCAUGAUAACAGCCAUUUUUCUUAUACUUCAUGCUUUAAUGUGUUUCAGCCGGAUCUAUCUGCGCCUGGUGUAGACAUCUUGGCUGCAUAUUCGCCUGUGGCCUCAAUCUCAGUGAGCCCCGAAGACAAGAGGCAUGUAAAGUACCAUAUAUUAUCUGGAACCUCCAUGUCUUGCCCUCAUGCUGCUGCUGUUGCUGCAUAUGUUAAAUCAUUCCAUCCCGAUUGGUCUCCAUCCGCUAUAAAAUCAUCUCUUAUGACUACUGGUAUUGUGUUAAAAAUUCUUCUCCUCCUAUCAUGCCCCAAUCUCUUCCUCAAUAUCUGCCUAAUUGAUUUCAUUCACAAUUACUAUGUAUCUUUGCAUUCAAUACAUAUCAUAGGUAUUAUAGUCGUAAUUGUCAUAUAGUACUAGCUACUUUUUGUAAUAGUUUCUCGAGUGAAUUACACUAGAUCAUUCUGAAAGUUAACCGCAUAUAGUCACAUGUCCAAAUCUUUCUCAUGCCUGCAGCUUGGCCAAUGAAUAAUACCAACAAUGCGCCUGCUGAGUUUGCUUAUGGAUCCGGACAUAUCAAUCCUGUAAAAGCUGUAGAUCCCGGGCUUGUUUAUGAAACAUCUAAAGAAGAUUUCAUUAAACUACUUUGCAUGGAGUAUGAUGAAGCCAAAGUGAGACUGAUAUCAGGAGAUAACAGCUCUUGCCCUACAGGUUCUGAUAAAGGAUCACCAAAGGAUCUUAACUACCCUUCAAUGGCUGCAGCGAAUAUUACACCGAAGAAACCUUUUACAAUAAACUUCCACAGAACAGUUAAAAAUGUUGGCCUUGCAAACUCUACUUACAGCGCCAGCAUCGUCCAAAAUUCCAAAGAGGUUGAUAUCAAAGUCACGCCUGAUAUUCUUUCCUUCAAGUCCUUGAACGAGGAGAAGAGCUUUGAUGUGACUGUUGUUGGAAAAGGUUUGAUAGGCGGAUCACUAAUUAUUUCUUCGUCAUUGAUUUGGUCUGAUAAUAAUCAUAGCGUGAGAAGUCCAAUUGUAGUGCGUAGUGAAAUAGCUUAAUACUAGUUCAUUGCUACAUCCCUGCUGAUGCAUCUGAACUUUUUCUUAUAAACUCAUGCUAAUCAUAAUGAAAUCUUUCUUUUGGUCACUGGUAUAUACAGGAAGAAAGCAUACAUCUAUAACCUGUUGGUUCUAGUUCCAUAAAUAAUGACAUACUAUUGUCAUGAGAUCAUGUAAAUUUUUAAUAAUCUUCAAAUUAGCAAUAUGUUUAGAAAAUUUAAAAGGAUGUAAUUAUUCUUCAAUUUAUUAAUGACACUGAUAUUUAAACUAAAAAGUAAAAUCCAAAUUUCCAAACAAUGAGAGGUGAAAAGUCAGUUUUAUUUGUUUUCCUUAAUCAGCACUGGGUUGUGUUCCUUAAUCAGGAAUUUGUAAAUUUUUGGAACCUUUCAGGUAAAGAUGAUAUUCAUGCUCCAUUUUCUAUUGGUUGAAGAUUUAAAAUAUCAUACGCUUGUACAAAAGCCUACCGUCUUUGCAUUUUCACUACACAUUUGCCUAUUUCUUCUAACAAUUCAUCUUUCUUCUAUUUUGAAAUGUUUUUAGUGGUACUUCCAAUAUCUUAAUUGUUACAAAAACUAAAAAUCUCCAAAUAACUUACGGUAUUACAGCGUUCCAGUUACAUGAAUACAUAAAUGAAAUUUAAAACAAAUUCACCUAGUUAGCUCCGAAAAGACUUAGAAUCGAAAAGGUAAGAAGUUGUAUCUAUACAUACCAAGUUUUCUUACAAAUUUUCUGAAUUAUCCCCAUUUCUCAGGCGAGCCACAGCCACUUCUGUGUGACGCCGGAUACGGUCUCUUCUGCAUGAGGGCAUAUUCAUUCAUGAGUCACCAAUGGCCUUAAUCUCAUUGCACGCUCAAAACGAAUACAUUAUGACAUACACUGCAUAUACAUGAUUUGCAUCUCCACUAAAAUGGCUGACGUCCUCCACUACUUAUUCCCUUUCUUUCUUUUUCCUGUUUUAACAUAAAAAGAAAAUUAUUCCUCACUUAAGCCUCGUUAGUUUCGUGGAAAGUAAACAACAGAAAAGAAAAUUGUUUAUUUUCUGUGUUUAGGGAAGCAGAAAGAAGGGAAAUACUUUCUUGAUUAAAGGGAAAAUGUGAUGAAAAGUUGGAAGUGACAAACGGGCAAUCCCAUGACGACCCACGUCUUAACGGGCUCGGGCUUAGACCAGCCCAUUUACUCAAACGUAAGGCCCAACUCGGCCCACGACCCAAGCCCAUAACAUGUCGGGUUGGGCCUAUGAGCGGGCUGUGUUGGGCCCCUUUUUUGCCGAAAAUUGAAAUUAGUCAAGAGUUGAUAUCAUAUUACACCAAAACAAUAACAAAUGAAAACUAAUUCCACUUUCUAUUGAUCAUUUUUUUCUUCACCAACAAACUACAUAAAUAAGUGAUAUAUGAAUCAUAUGAUCAUUGUUUACAAUUAAUAAUGUUUUAGCAAAAACUUCUUACGGGUAUAGGGAAAUCAAAAUAAAUAAUUAUUAGUAUAUAUAUAAGUUUAUUGUUCACACUUAAAACUAAUUUUAUUAUUUAUAACUAUGUUUUCUUCAUAUUAUAAAAAUAUAUAUAUAUAUAUAUUAUAGAGCGGGCCGGGCCAUAUGCCUCAAUUUGUCGUGCUCGGGCCAGGCCAGGCCGGGCCUAUGAGCUUAUUUUUCUAGGCCCAGCCCGACCCAUUAGAUCUAUGUCUAUAGCAUACCUCAUCUCCAAUAAUAAGCCAUGUCAUGGCUGUGAGGUUUUUUUAAUGUCAGUCACCCAUAGGUGAUAUAUCCAAUAUUAUUGGAUUCGAGAUUAGUAAAUUCCGGGCANNNNNNNNNNNNNNNNNNNNCAUAUGCCUCAAUUUGUCGUGCUCAGGCCAGGCCAGGCCGGGCCUAUGAGCUUAUUUUUCUAGGCCCAGCCCGACCCAUUAGGAUAACGUGCUUGGACCGUGCCGGACAGUUUUUAAACAUGUUGUGCUCAUACUUAGCAGCCCGUUUGCCACCUCUAGGAAAAGUAAUUAAUUUCAAAAUCCAGAUGAACCACUUUCCUUCCUCAUUUCUCUGCCUUUAUUACUCACAAUAUAAUAUUUUAUUAUUCUAAUUACCAAUUUUUCAACAACUUUUCCGAUGACUUUUUUUGUGUUACCAAACAUCUGAAUUGAAAGUUCUUAUAUAAUUUCUUUCCCAUUUAUUUUCUCUUUUCAUGGGAAAUAACAAUCAAUUACUUUCUUUCCGACAAACCAAACGAGGUCUAAGGGAACUUGUACUGGGUUAGUUUUGGUCUUUUGGAUAACAUGUUUGGUGAGAUCUUUUACCGUCAUUUAUGUAUCCUUCUUUUGGUCAUGAUUUUUCUUCCUGUCCCCGGUUAUGGUUAUAGGUUUCAUAAUCUUGGUUUUUGCAGGCUCCACUUUUAGCUACUCGCUUGUCUUUGUAAAGAGAAUGGUCUUGGCCUAGUGCCUCCAUUCUCCCCAUCUGUAUUCUUAUUUUACACAUUUCUUAAUGAAAUUGUUAGGAAGAGGAGGCCACCAAUUUGAGUUAUUUGACCGUGCCGUAAUUUGAAGGUAAAAGAGUAAAAAUACACUCCGCCAGUAUGUCUUCGACUGUAAAACCCAAGUCUAAACUCUAAACCCAGUUUCGAGUCUUCCGACCCAAAAGAAGAGAGCCCUUGCUGUCUAUAGUUCCUCAUUUGCCAAACCCCGUCAAAUUCGUACAUCUCAUGGCGGUUCGUGCAUUUUCAAGAUCAAAAUUUUCAACUUUCUCUUCAAUCCUCCUUCAAGGUCUGAAAAGAACACCAAUCCGAGAGAACCCGUUUCCUCCAAAACCCAGUUCUCCAGUAUCACAAAUCCAAUCAUGUCAGCCCAUUUGUGGGUUUAGGCUAUACCAUGACGGAAGACCCAGAGGACCCCUUUGGAGGGGUAAGAAGCUGAUCGGCAAAGAAGCCCUUUAUGUGAUUUCGGGUUUGAAAAGGUUUAAGGAUGACGAGGAGACGCUUGGCAAGUUUAUAAAGAGCCAUGUUUUGAGGCUCCUCAAGUUGGAUAUGAUUGCUGUUCUCACUGAGCUUGAGCGCCAAGAAGAGGUCAAUUUGGCUAUUAAGGUACUAUACAAAUGUAACUAUUCUCUCUUGUAUGCUUAAAUUUUGUGUCUUUUUGCAUUUGCUGUUCUGGGUUGUGUUUAGAGUUUCAGACUUGGGUUUGUAAUAUAUGCUAUGUGAAUAUGAUCAGGCAUUGCUAGUUAUGAUCUUUGUGACAAAUUGUUUAGUGGGUUUCGGCUGGUGAUGUGUUUGACGAAAUGCUGAAUGUUAGUGUGAAUUUUUGGAAUCUUCAAUAUGAUUAGAUAGUGUUUAACAGAUUGAGAAGAACUUUGGCUUAAGUAUUGGGUUUGCUGGGUAUUCCUGCUGGCAAUGCAGGCUUAUUGGUAUAUGAUAAAUUUUGAUUGGAGCGAGUUCUUUCUGCGGCCAAUUUUAUGAUUGGCAAGUAGUUGAUAGGGGGAUUAUUGUUUCAUAUGUAGUUAUAGAAGUUAAGAACUCAAAAUGGCUCUUUAGAUUUAAAUGUUGAAUUUCUCAUGCUCAAACUAGGAAAUGAACAAUGAUUUGGAGAGUACCUUAUUACCAUGUGAAAGAGAGACUGAAGAGUAGUUUGGGUUUAGAUUUUCGUUUGUUGAUUCUUUCAAAGUGCUCAAUGUCAAGCCAAUUGGUUCCAGUGAAUGAUGGUAUUUUCAUUUGAAUUACUUUCUGUCCUUGAUGCAAAACCGCAUUACUAGUAAGCUGUAGCCUAUAGGUUUGCACUUUGGCAACUUGUUUGUGAGACAAUCCGAGAAAUUGGAUUUGAUAUAUUAUUUGGAAUGUAGGAAGCCCUUCUAGUGAGGACCCUUAAGUUGAGGACUUUUCGGUUUAUGGUUUAAAAGACCCAAUUUUCGAUCACAUUUUGACAUCUUAUCCGUUCAGUUUUUAGGUUUAUAUGAGUAGAUCAUUUCUACAAAUUUUCACCCAAAUUGGUGUUCGUUAAGAUAACAAACUAGAUCAAAUUAAUGGAUGAACCAAAUCUGUUAAAUAUGAAUUGUUCAAGUUCAUAAUUGAUAAAUCACACUUAUGAAUGUCUUAACAAUUUUCAAUAUAGCUGAAAAUUUGAAUAAAUGAUCUACUCAUAAAUACCUAUAAACUAAACGGUCAAGAUGUAGAUAUAAGAUCGAAAUGUGGGAUAAGCCGAAAAGUCCUCACCAAGUCCUCAACUUAAGGGUCCUCACUAGAAGGGCUCCCUUGGAAUGUAAUUGCUUCUAGAUUGCUCUAUCUUGGUUUUCUGUUAAUUUGUUAUAAAUUGAUUGAUAUUAGCUUAUAUUACUCAGUUGGCUAACAUGCAAUUCAAUGAUUUCUCAGGUAUUUAACGUGAUUCGAAAGCAGGAUUGGUACAAGCCUGAUGUCUAUCUGUAUAAGGACUUGAUCAUUUCAUUGGCAAAAUCUAAGAAAAUGGAUGAUGUUAUGGUUCUAUGGGAUUGUAUGAAAAAGGAAGAUCUGUUUCCUGAUUCUCAAACAUUUACAGAAGUUAUCAGGGGAUUUUUGAGCACUGGUUCUCCUGCCGAUGCAAUGAACAUAUACGAGGACAUGAAACAGUCUCCAGAUCCACCAGAGCAGCUACCAUUCCGGAUUUUGUUAAAGGGACUUCUGCCACACCCCCUUUUGAGAAACAGAGUCAAGCAAGACUUUGAGGAGCUCUUUCCUGAACAACAUGUAUAUGACCCUCCGCAAGAGAUUUUUGGCUCCUGCUGAGGUUUGCAUCUUUAUAACUAGUUAUAUCUAUCUAGACUUCAGCAUGCACUUCUAUAGGUGUGCAUAUCAUGUUGAUUCCCGUACUUUCAAAAUCCUAAUUGAGUUUAUUUGGUUUUAGGUCUUCAACGUUUUUCUCAUUCAUUGGAAGGGCAUUGUUACACCUCAAGUUCUCAACCAACUAUAGGAUUUAGGGUUGCAUGCCAGGACCACUAGUAAGGUGGGUAUCCCAUGUAGUGACAUGCAGUAUUGCUAUUAUUUUCUAGAGCUUCAAGUUUUGACUUCCUAGAACAUAAACUUGUGGUCUGCUGUAAAAUGUUCUUUUAGGUUUGUGCACCAUCACUUUUUUUUUAUGUAGAUGAGUUGAACAUUAACUGAUAUGAUAGUUUUGAUGGAUGUUGGUUUCUGUAUCCCAUGUAUCUUUGGCACUGGCAAUUCCAAGCUCAGGAGGGAUUUCCGGCGGGAAAGCAUUCUGUUCCAUUUAUAUGGGGACACCAAAAUUUAGCUAAUACUGGAAACUGUAGACCUUGGGGUUUAAAUGCUCAAAUGACCGAAUAUGUGCAUGCCAUUUAGUUUAAAGUUGAGUUACCCAGCAAUCUCUUGAGUGGUAAACGCCAAAAGGAAGAGAACAGUGCUGAACACAUCCAAACCACCUAUAGUGGCAACAUCAAGCUUCAAAUCAGUGAAUCAUCAAACCAACUCAAACCAAUAAUUGUACCAACUUUGUCGUAAGCAUUCCACUUAAUCCAACAAACACUCACGUCAAAUCAAACUCAUAUAUCCAAACAAAACCAAAUGUUUCACACAAUGUCGCUAGCAUUUCAUGAACAUAUUGACGUGUCAAUGGUUUUGGAAUAUCUUUUUCCUAUGUAGUAGUACCAUAUAGGCUUGGUGGGAAUGGUGGGUUUACUUGUGAAUAGCACCUUGAUAUUAACAGGAUGAGAAUGUUGGACCAAGCACCACUUGGAGCAUAUCCGACAUUGCAAACCUUAUCUAAUUAUCCUCUUUGGUGGGAUCACAAGCAUUUGAGUAUCAAGAUUCAUUCCUCCUGAAAAGCCCUAAACUCAUAUCCAAAGCAAAAUCAGUCCCAAAUGUCCAUUGGCAAGGCAUGAGAGCUAGGGAUAGGGAAAAGCCACAUCUAUAAGAUAUCAAUACAGAAAAUAUGCAAUGAUCCGAAAAUGGUCCUUGGCUAAAGCAAUGAAGAUGCAUUUCGAUUUCGAGCACAAUAUCAGCAAAAACACAUAGACAAAAAAUUCGAAACACUAUAAAUUAUCAGUCAAGAUAACGUGGUAUCGGAUCAUUUAAGAUUGAUUUUGUAGAGCUUGGAGGACAUGUGGAGCCCACGUGACACUUAUCCACUAUGCUUUGUGGAAAAGGUUACCAAUAUAAUUGGAUUUGAAUUUACCAACCAGCAAAGGUUGGUGGUCUCCAUGACCAUCCAAUCAAAACUCUCUCCCUCUCUCUUUCUCUCCCUCUCUCUGCUCUCUCUUCUCUCUCUCUUGAUUGGAUGGUCAUGAUUGAGUGGUCAUGGAGACCAUCCAAUUAAAACUCUUUCUCUCUCUUUCUCUCCCUCUCUCUUCAAAAACUCAAGGCGAAUAGAAAUCGAGGAAAACAAAAACCUGGCCUGCACAAAAACAGCAAAAGGAGUUUUUAUUGGUGAUGAAGGCACAUGGGCGGCACUGUUGAGUGCCGUCUUUUGUAGAAGAACAGUGCCGCCUUUUGUAGAAGAAGAAGAAGAGGAAGUUAGCAUUAUAUAUUCGAUUUCAGAGACACUGAUUUUCACGUGCUCUGUUUUCUAGCUUUCUUCUUCUGCAAAAUCGCAUCUGCCAUCUUCUUGGGAGCUCUGUUUUGUUUGGAUUAGCUUAUCUGUUUGACUCAGAGAAAGAAAUGGAGAGUGUGAAGAAGCAAGGGAGUUCGUCUUCCUCAUUCACUGCUGAACUCUUUGGGUUCAAGGACUCACCACCCAAGUCUUCAACUGGGAUUUUUGCUUCGAUUUUCCCACCACCAUCGCAGGUAUGUGUAUUCUUGUUCUGCUGAAACUGCAGUCAAUUAGUAGUCUUGUUCUGCUGAGGUACUAGCUUCUGUUAAGAAGUUGCUUUUGGUUCAAAGUUGCUAGCUUUAGUUCAUCUUAUCUAAUGAAAGCACAAAUCUUUGGAAAAGCUGAAGUUUGGUUUCUGUUGGGAUUGGGGGAACUUAUGCUUGAUGUUGCGAAUUUUUAAUGUAAACCCAUUUGUGGAAAAGCGAAAUUUCUUUCAGAAACACUGCAAAGGGGGGAAAAGAUAAACAAGUAAAUUCAAGAUUUUUGAUGAACUAGAUUCUCUGUCUUCUCUUUUUUAAUUCGCAAGUGACUAGGUUUGCAUGUUUUGCUUGGAAUUGUAGUGAAGUGUUCUAAAUUGUUGACUUUAAGAAACACUGCAUCGCUCUUUGUUGAAUUUAUGGUUCUCACUAUCUGAUUUUAGGUGGUGGGGAGAAACUCUUCAAGCUCUGAGCUGACUGAAUACUGGCGUAAACAGUCCUUGGGAAAUCAAGCAUGGAACACCAAGCAAGGUAAUCAAGGUUUGUUCUUUAUAUCAGAUUCAUGUAGUUCUGUUACAAGUUUCUAUGAAUGAUUUAUAAUCCAUCCUAGUGUUGAAAUCCAACCUUAUCUUGAACUUUUGUUUAUUAAUGAACACCUUUGGUUCUUCAUAUAAUCCAGAUGAUGAAUACUCAAUUUAGCUUCGUUGCUCAUAUUUUACUUCUUUUUUAUUUAGUAACUUCCUGUUUUUGUUCCUAAUUGAGAAAAAGGCUUGGUUGUUUAAUCAGCAGUCUUUCUAAAUUGUGAGGGCUGAGGGAUUAAAGUUCUUAGAAUUAUACCAUUAUAUGCCCCAUGAUCAUCUGAUUCUUUUGUAAUUCUCUAGAAACUCGUAAUCUUGGAUAUUAAACUGUGUUGAAAGCUUAUUUCCUCAACCUUUGUAUUGCUCUUAAACCAUAUAGCUAUAAGUAGCGAAGAUGCACGCUAUAGCUUACCCAACAAGGAACGCAGUUCAGUUCUUCAGCAUGAAAGAGCAGAACCAUGUCACCUAAGUUCAUCUCUUUACUAUGGUGGGCAAGAGGUCUAUUCUCAGUCCCCAAGUACCCCUCAUGCCUCUGGAUCCUACCCUCUAGUGAGUCUUGAUGAGUGAUCAUCAAUAUAUAUACAGUACUGUGAUUUAAUAGUGUGUCAGCAUGGUUAACGAACAAUUGGAUGUAUAAAACUAAUUGUGCUUGUUACUCUAUGAUUGAUUUAGUUCAAGAAAGAUGCUGGAGAAGAUGAUCCAAAUGGAAGCAAUGCGAACAGUGCCGCCCGAGGAAACUGGUGGGAAGGUAUUCAUAUAACAGAUGAAACUUGUACUCUGGUACAAUCUACAGCUACAUGUUGUAGAGUAGAUCAAGUGAUGAACUUUUCUGGUAUGUGUUUGCAGGUUCACUCUAUUAUUAGGACCUUGCCUUCCCUGGCCAUGAACUCUUCAUCUAUUAUCAAGGUAUAUAUUCUUUCAGAUUCAUUUCCUCCAAUGUGACUUCCUUAAAAUCUUGACAUGUCAUGUAAUUCCAAUGUGUUUUUUUCUUCGUGUCCCUUAGUUUCCUUCUUUUUAAGGUUCUCAGUUUUUUUUGAAUUAAAUUAACCCGGUAAAUACUUGUACUACAUGUAAGAUAAGUAGCUGAUGUAUGUACAAUCCUUUGCAGGAAUUCAUGAGGGCUUGGUAUUUUAAGUAUGGUGAAUAUGUAGUAUAAAUAAGUUGCUGAUGUCAACAGGAGGUUGCAAAGAGAUGCCUCUUAGUCAAGAAGUGCGAAACUUUUAUGUUGGUAAGGUCACCUGUUUCACAGAGUAUGUUAAUACUCUGCACUGGACUAAGUUUCUAUCUGUUGUUUGAAAGUUGUUUUUGCUUUUGAAUUAACACCUGUAAUGGCCGACGGGCUAAUGAUAUAAACCUCUUGCUCUUCAAUUAUCAGCAAAUAAAGUAGUUGCUUGAAGACUUGAAGUGACUAUUGUUUCUUAUGCAAUGUGUUUUGUCAUCAUGAAGGCAUUAGCGAUACAUGGUGUUUUGAAAAGAAAUGCUACCCUUGAAUAAUAUAUACAGCCUCAUUAGAUUAGAAGUUGCUGGUGAAUCAAAAGAAAAAAUAUAGCUAUCAACGACCACUAAAUUAGUGUAAAGGAGCUUGAUAUUGACAGUAGUUUUCCCCAUUUUUCUCAUCAUUGGAUAAACAAAGGAAUAGCCUUUCAUAAGCAGCUACCAUCUUGGUAGCAGUGAACAAUUGUAAGCCUCUUUGCCUUGCUGCCUGACCUUUCUGCUUUAGACCUCCUCUGCCAUCAUCCCAAACUCUAUAGAGGGUCUUCUUUAGUGAAGCUAUUGUCGGUGAAAAUGUAUAACCGACUUCUGUCCCAACAACCACAGAGCCUGUAAUGCUUGCAAGUCUUGUCGCCAUUACUGGCUUACCAGAGAGCAUUGCUUCCAACAAAGUAUGAUCCAAUCCCUGAGCACGAAGAGUUGGGUUCACGAAAAUAUCUAUUGCGUUGUAGAAGUCAGCUAGCUGAGCUUGUUCUAGUGGCCCUAAAACAAGAACAUUAGAUCCAAGAUCUCUGUACCUAGCUCCCCAAGGACCAUUGCCAGCAACUAGAAGGACAACACUAUGCCUGAAUGCAUCAUUUUCACUGAGCAUUUGCUUCAAAGCCUCGAACAUCAAUGGAUGUCCUUUAUCCUUCACCAACCUCCCAGCCAUUCCUAAAACCAACGUCUUAGAUUCAGGCACCCCAAACCUUUUCUUGAAAUCCUUCCCUUUGACAAUGUCUGGCUUGAAAAUCUCCUCAUCAACACCAUUAAGAAUAAUGUGUACGCGUUCAUCCGGGAUCAUGUAAAUCCUCUUCAGUACAUCUCCGACAUGGUCACUGGUAGCAACAUGGUGAGCAUAACUGGGGAAGAACCUCACCUCUUCGACAACCUUGGUAACUCUUUCAGCCAAUGCGUACCCCUGUGGUUCUUCAGGACUCCGAAUAAGUUCUUGUAUGAUGUCAGAAUGGAUAGUUUCAUAUGCAAUCCCAUGCCAAGUAACAGCCAGAUUCGUAUGAUUGCGUGAUCGAGUAUGCAUGAGACCAACACUUUCAGUGUGGAUCACAUCAAAAGGUCUUCCUGUUGAGUUUUGGGUUUGAAAUAGUUUCCAAACUAGAGCUUGGUCCAGGUAACCAGAAGCUGUUGGCUUUGAGAGGUGAAAGCGUAAAUUAUUGAAAGGGUACCUUGGAAAGGAGGAAUUUGGAGGAGAACUGGUGAAGAUGUGAAGUUCAUGACCUCUUUUGGCGAGUGCAAGGUGGAGAGUCAAAGCAUGGCGUUCUAGCCCUCCUGCUUGAGAUCUAUGAGGCCAUUUCUUGACGAAGAGAGCAAUUUUGAGGAGCUUUGGCGGCGGAUUUGAGGAAAAAGCAAGCUGAUUCCAGGCAGAAGGGAAAGAAAGAAGUUCAAUGAUCUGGCUUUGCUUCUGCUCCAUCUUUUGGUAUAGAGAAUAGCAGGGACCAUAGCGAUGACACCAGAAAAUGAAUGAGAUGAAGGACCAUGCACACAGCACUGAGACAAUGGAGCAAAGACGGCGGAAGCUGAAUCCAGCAACUGGAUCCUUAGCCAUUGAAGAAGGAGAUCUAAGAUAGAAAAUGGAGAGAACUCAACCUUAUUAAGGAGAGAUGUUUCAGAUGGCAUCUGAACAUGGGAUUUCUAGUAUAAGAUAAGCAGGUCUUGACAAUCUCAAUAAUUUGUUUAUGAAAACAAUCAAAUUUUGAUCUAGAAGCAACUUCGGUUGACUAAAUAAUUUAACUUGAUUGGAUCUAAACCCUAUGAGCAUUCCAUUUGAUAUUUCUAUUGGAAUCAUGCCUAAAUGUGCGCUCUUGAUUGCAGUUUUGCAACCCGAAACCACUAGAUUUAUCAGAUAACCAGAAUGACAUUACUGUGUUCUUAAGCUAUGCACCUAUAUCUCGAAAUUCCCAGGAUACAAAACUACAACAUUUAUAAAACAAGCAUGAACGUUUUUUUUCCAUUUCUGAUCAUUUCAGCGAUGAACCAAAGCUUAAUGGGAUCCAUGAACCAAUCACUACUUAAUUGAGAGGUUUGGAUAAGCUUCAUCGAUACCUUAACGAGUAAAGGCAUGAAGUACAAGAAAAACAUAGAUCACAAGAGCCAAAGGGACCAAAGUCACCAAAGGACCAAUUGCAGCAAAAGUAUACAAAUCCCCACAACUCAACCUCCCCAAUUUGAUCUGAACCAAGUCCACCAAGGCCAUCAUCAAGAAACCACAUCCUAAAACCGACCCGAAUGCCGAGACCAGCGUACCGACCCGCAAACCCACCUGGUUAACAUGUCCCAUGUUGGCAACAAGCAACUCAGAAUCCGAGCCACCAUUUCCAAUACUGCUACAACAACUUAUUUGGCUGAUCUUGAUGGCUUGCUUGAGAGCCAAGGCAAUGAGGCUGGAGAAGAGGAAGGAGCUGAAGGAGUAGACGUGGAAGGAGAUGAGUCCCUCCGCCGCAUCGGUACCGGCAGCACAAGCUUUGUUGGAGCCUAGUAGCAUGGAGUUGAGGUCGGUGGUAGGGUACCAAGUGAGGCCUAUGAAGAGGGCAAUUGAGAAAAGUGAGUUCACAUUGACUAUGCCGUCUAGGGCCAUUAUGUGAAUGCGGGUUGAGGGUGUUGUCCGGCGUGACACGUCGGACAUUUCAGGCUUUGGUGUGGUACGGUGGUGUUUGUGGUGGUGGAAGAGAUGAAAAAAUAGAGAGCAUUUUUGGUUGCAUUGGUUUUAUGAAAUAUAACUUUGGUUUUUGGUUUGAGGGAAGAUGACUAGAUGAGUAUGAAGCCUGAAACUGGAAUCAAGAGUAGCGUGUUUUCUCUGGGUAUCGUGGCGUUUCAGGCAAGGAAAGGGGUUUGCAGAAGCAACAUAUUACAAAUGUGAAAGUUUCACACACACACACACACACAAAAAAAAAAACAGAAAGAAAAAAAUUUGAAAACCAAAAACAAAAGCGCCGUUGCCGGGGAUCGAACCCGGGUCACCCGGGUGAAAGGCGGGAAUACUUCCCACAAUACUACAACGACUUCUUGCUAUUUAUUUAAUUCACUACUUUUUAUUAGAUUUUAAUGCCACACAUAACUCUGCAAAUGCAUUCGGGCUUAUCAUUUUAGAUUUGGUAUCAAUGACUCACUGUCUCACUCCCAUUGUUGAUUAGUAUGCUAAUAAGAGUUCUGUAUAAGUUUGUUUCCUCUCAAUAACUGAAUUCUUGUGCAUAUAUAGAAUAUGAAUCUCAGUAUGGUUUUACUGCAUGUAAAUUUUUCUAGUCAUUGUACUGUUGGGGUUUUAAGUUCCUGUAACAUAUAUAUUUUCUUGCCGAAGUACUAAAGGCUUACUUAUCCCUGAAUCCAAUGCUCAAGUCACUAGAAUGAAGAAAAAGAAAAAUGAAGCUGAUAUAUAUGAAUUAAUUGUUUCCACUGAAUCACUGAUACAUAACAAACUACACACACAAAUAAGCAUGCACCCAUAGAAUUUGAAUCAUUUAUUUUUCUUUUCAUUUUUUGGGACAGACACAACUUAUUUAUUUGAUAGCACAAUUUUUUUUGCAGGCCGGGUCUCACAAAUUUCAACUAAACACCUUAAACUUUCUGAUCCUUGACAAUUGUAACAGGACAAUUUGCAUUCGCCAUAACGUGGCUUGAUACACUGCCCAGAAGCACCCUGAAUUCAACAAAGGAUUAUAAAUCCCAGAUUAGUGUUUAUCAUUUUGGUUAUAUAGAAUAAUAUAUAAGAGAUAGGUUGUACCUUUGGAGGGUGCCCAGGCCUCUGCUCCCAAGGACCAAGCAGUCGAGCUUUAAGUCUUCCACUGCUUCACAAAGCUUGUCUCUUGCAUCUCCCCAGUAGAUCUUUGCUAUCACCGUCACCUAUAUUCAUUUCACACACAUUCAAUUCCCAAAUACCCCUUUAAGACAAUGUUGUUUACAAUCCUUGUAAGGGUUUUACAAUAAAGGGUAUACAAUAUGUGAUGAUAUUUUAAAUACUUUGCUACCGCAUACAUCACAUAUAAAGGGUUUACAAUGAUUGUGCUAAGUUUGUGGGAAAAUUUUACAAUGUGUUAAUGAUGUUGUCAAAAUGUCAUAAAAGAGCUAGGAUGACUUAUUAUUGCGAAUCAAAUUAUCAAUCAGACAAUUUAACGUCUCGGAUAUCUAGUUCACAAAUUAGCAUAAAAAAAAGAAAAAGAAGAACAUAUAAAUAUGGAAAUACAUACAUGUUUUUGCUUAAUAGCAGUAUCAAGCAACUCCAAGACCUCCUGAUCAAGCUCAACCUCGUAGUUCUCCAUAACGUCCUUUUGACGGAACUCCGCAAAAGGAAUCAGAGCUGCAGAAAAAUCCAGAAUCCAGAAGUCAUAAAAAAAACCAGAACAAUCCUGCAGAAACAUACAUAUAUAUUUUGAACUAAUUAAUAACAAGGAAACGUACGUGAUCCGGUGGUAGACCAAAGAAGGCUGCGGCUCUCACUGCCUUCUUGAGGCUUGACAUGGAUGACAUACAAGGUGUCACUUUUGUCACUCAGAUUAUGAAGAGCCCAUUUCAGAGCAGUCUUGCUUCCCUUCGAGAAAUCCACCGCAAACCCUAAGUUUCUGUCCUUCGUCAUCGAUCAAAUCCGAGAGUGGCCGGCACUAAGUCUCCUUGAAGAUGGAGUUGAGUUCGAAGCAGAUAGCUAAGCUUUGAGAAUCAAUUAAAGGAGAAGCUAAGAUAGCUAUGAUCGAGAUGUGGAUCUGUGCGUUGAAAUUCUGCUGAGAGCUAGCUUUGUUUAAGGGGAAUCAAUUUGCUCUGCCUAACCUAAGUCACAUCUCACAUGGAUUCCAUUAAUAUACCAGCUGCUUGUUCUUACUGGCUGAACGAUCUGCUACUUGGUAUUUUUUAAGUAGAGAAAUCUGAAAAAGCUGCUAUUCUGGGGGCAAGUGGUUCCAACUUGAACAUAAUCUCUUGGAUUAGUUGCACCUUAAUUAAUGAGCUUAAUAUAGGGACAUCCCAGCAACCAGUCAACUAGAGUUGUAGAAUCAUGCAUAUACAGCUGGGAGUGGUGAAGUCGUAGAGAAGAAGAGUAAGAUGAAUCUUAUGCAACAAAAGAGAUGAUCGAUCAGAUGAACGAUACGAUAAUUAAAAGUGCUAGCAUAAGUAUGAAGCUAAUUAAGGCAUUAGGCAUACACUACCAUUUUUCUUUGCUGGUCUGAAUGAUCCACUUCCGUUAGUUGAUCUUCAGCUGCUACAACGUACACCAGAUUACCUUAUUAUAGUUGAUUUACUGUUAAUAUUAGGAGUCAAGUUUGAAAUUCGAAACAAAUGAAAAACCCUGGGAGCAGUAGCCUCCAAUAUCCUACAAUCUAACUUCGGAUGCUCAUCUGAUCCCAUGGCAUCUAUUGAUGCAAUAAUCGCAAGUGAUCUGCUGCUUCCCUUGCCCUAGCUGUCUGAGGGUGGUGGUGUCACAUCCCGACCCUUAUAUUUUUACCUUAUUUACUAGCGUGAUUAUAAUAAGAAUUUUACCGUCUCGAUCAUUGAGUAAAUAGUUUAAUUGGUCCCUAGAGGGGUUUCGGGGACGAUUAUGUGCGGAGGAUUAUUCGUAUGAGGAAAAUACAACGACGGUAAAAAUAGUAAAUUUUAGCUAGAAAAAGGUAAUUUUUAUUCGGGUAUUAUUUUUCGGGGUGUUUUUAUUUUGGAAGUUUGGGUUAUAAAUGGUGUGGACCGGUUUGGGGUGUGAGGCCCAAACCCUUUUCUUUUCUCUCUCCCUCCCUCCCGAUUUUUCUUCUCCUCCCACCCGAUUUUCUUCUCUCUACACCCACCGGUAUUCCGGCCGUCCUCCCGCCGCCGUCCGACCUCCGUUCGCCACCGGACCGGUCCCGUUCGGUCGGUCUCCCUCCCAGCAACAUUUCUAGACCGGUGAGAGGAGCCCUAGCGCCGCCGUGAAGGAGCGGUGCCACCCGUAAGGUCCGACUGUCCAAACCUUCACUUCGCUGGAACUUCCUCCUCCGGCCACCAAUCCGGGCAAGCUUGGUAUGGUUUUGUAGCCCUCCAACCCAGCAACCUUGCCCUAAAAGGACUCACUCCCUCUUGAGCUAGGUAAGGAGAAAUUUGAGGUGGAAGUUUUAUGGUGUUUUUGAUGUUUUUAGUCGAUAGCCCUAGUUAGGCUUGGAAUUGGUGUUUGUGCUAGUUAUGAAAGUUGUAGAGCUUGAUGAGAGGAAGAUGCUGUUAAAAUUUCAUAGGUUUUGGAGGUCGCCCGAAUUGACCUCCGGCCGCCGCUGCCGGCGGAGNNNNNNNNNNNNNNNNNNNNNNNNNNNNNNNNNNNNNNNNNNNNNNNNNNNNNNNNNNNNNNNNNNNNNNNNNNNNNNNNNNNNNNNNNNNNNNNNNNNNNNNNNNNNNNNNNNNNNNNNNNNNNNNNNNNNNNNNNNNNNNNNNNNNNNNNNNNNNNNNNNNNNNNNNNNNNNNNNNNNNNNNNNNNNNNNNNNNNNNNNNNNNNNNNNNNNNNNNNNNNNNNNNNNNNNNNNNNNNNNNNNNNNNNNNNNNNNNNNNNNNNNNNNNNNNNNNNNNNNNNNNNNNNNNNNNNNNNNNNNNNNNNNNNNNNNNNNNNNNNNNNNNNNNNNNNNNNNNNNNNNNNNNNNNNNNNNNNNNNNNNNNNNNNNNNNNNNNNNNNNNNNNNNNNNNNNNNNNNNNNNNNNNNNNNNNNNNNNNNNNNNNNNNNNNNNNNNNNNNNNNNNNNNNNNNNNNNNNNNNNNNNNNNNNNNNNNNNNNNNNNNNNNNNNNNNNNNNNNNNNNNNNNNNNNNNNNNNNNNNNNNNNNNNNNNNNNNNNNNNNNNNNNNNNNNNNNNNNNNNNNNNNNNNNNNNNNNNNNNNNNNNNNNNNNNNNNNNNNNNNNNNNNNNNNNNNNNNNNNNNNNNNNNNNNNNNNNNNNNNNNNNNNNNNNNNNNNNNNNNNNNNNNNNNNNNNNNNNNNNNNNNNNNNNNNNNNNNNNNNNNNNNNNNNNNNNNNNNNNNNNNNNNNNNNNNNNNNNNNNNNNNNNNNNNNNNNNNNNNNNNNNNNNNNNNNNNNNNNNNNNNNNNNNNNNNNNNNNNNNNNNNNNNNNNNNNNNNNNNNNNNNNNNNNNNNNNNNNNNNNNNNNNNNNNNNNNNNNNNNNNNNNNNNNNNNNNNNNNNNNNNNNNNNNNNNNNNNNNNNNNNNNNNNNNNNNNNNNNNNNNNNNNNNNNNNNNNNNNNNNNNNNNNNNNNNNNNNNNNNNNNNNNNNNNNNNNNNNNNNNNNNNNNNNNNNNNNNNNNNNNNNNNNNNNNNNNNNNNNNNNNNNNNNNNNNNNNNNNNNNNNNNNNNNNNNNNNNNNNNNNNNNNNNNNNNNNNNNNNNNNNNNNNNNNNNNNNNNNNNNNNNNNNNNNNNNNNNNNNNNNNNNNNNNNNNNNNNNNNNNNNNNNNNNNNNNNNNNNNNNNNNNNNNNNNNNNNNNNNNNNNNNNNNNNNNNNNNNNNNNNNNNNNNNNNNNNNNNNNNNNNNNNNNNNNNNNNNNNNNNNNNNNNNNNNNNNNNNNNNNNNNNNNNNNNNNNNNNNNNNNNNNNNNNNNNNNNNNNNNNNNNNNNNNNNNNNNNNNNNNNNNNNNNNNNNNNNNNNNNNNNNNNNNNNNNNNNNNNNNNNNNNNNNNNNNNNNNNNNNNNNNNNNNNNNNNNNNNNNNNNNNNNNNNNNNNNNNNNNNNNNNNNNNNGUUUUCAUCAGUAGGUUACCUGUUCAACCUACUUGUGUUUUCUUGCUUCCGCUUGUGUUUAGUAGCUCUGAAUACUUUAGAAUGUUUGUAUUUUAUGCGAUGUUCAGAAGUGAUAAAUUAAGAGUGUAAUUUGAAAUUUUCGAGUUAGGGUUGUCCAUCUGCAAGGGAGAUUUUCUUAAUCUUUUCAGUAAAUUUUCCUUGGAGGUGGUCCCCGCACGACUUACUCUGGGUUUCAGGGUGAAAUUCGGGGUGGGACGUGUCAGGCGGUGCUCCUAAUCUCAUAAAGAUCGGCCUAGGCCAAUGUUCGCCAAUAUUCUCAAUAAUGUAUUCUUCUAGCGAAACCUUUGUCACGCCACACUGUUCAUCCUGCUGCAUUCCAGUCCAACUUUUUGCGUAGUGGUUGACUAGGGCUUAAGAGUUCAAUCACGGCCAAUGAACUUUUAUCCUAUAGUUCCCUAUUAGAAGAAUAUAAUUACUUGCUGCUGCUAUUGGUGGAGAGAUUGGCAGAUUGCUAGCUUUAAAUCCAAGCUUAAUUAGAACUCAGAUCUUAGCCUGAUGAGCAUUAGAUUCAUGAGUUUUAUUGCUUGAUUCUUAGUUCAUUAGCUGUACAUUAAUUAAGGUUUUAGGUACGUAGCUAGUUGAAUGGUUCAGGGAAUUAGUUGUGCACUUGUGCAUCAUCCACAGUUACAUGUAAAUUAGCAACAUGCUUGACAUAUAUGAUUUCCUUAAGGGUUGAGUUAUUUUGUAAUACUGCAUUCAAGAAUGAGAACAUGCAUGAUUUCCUUGGUGUAACUAACCAAUCAUGUGAACUAUGACAUUUUAAGUGUGCAAACUACAUUGCGGAUUAAGUUCGAAUAAUCAACUACUGGUGGUACGUGAUCAAUAAGAAAUCCUCACGUCUCCUCAAUUUCACCAAGCAAAAGAAUAAUUGAGGUACGUAGUGUUUUAGCACAUCAAGAUUGACUUCAUAUAUAGGAAACGCAAGCAAUGUUCCUACUAUAUCCAAAGCAAAAACCUUAAUGAGCAACACAGGUCAAGUCAAGCAGCUCAACCCUAAACUAUAUAUAUUUGUUUCUUCUUGUAUCUGAUACUUACUCCUAACCCCCUUCCUAUCCAUAAUAAGUUGAACUACUGGCCGAAGUUCCUAACCAUAACCUGCUGAAAUUGUUGGCCAAUUGCCAUAUAAAUACACAAGAAUCCAUUUACCAGUUCCACCAGUGUAGAUUUAUAUUAGUCCAAUUACCUUCAAGUUCCUUCAGUUUCAGUACUCAUUUCCUGAUUAUUUAUUCUCCUGCAAUUUUGUUGAACCGUACUUGUCGUGUGCAUGGCAAGGAACCAAAAUAAGAUUGACAAUAGAAAGAAAGAACGUUGUGCGGCCCGAAUAUAGUCAACAGUACUUAACCCCAUCAACUCUCAACCGUACCGUACCGGUGGAAAUGCUACACCCACCCCAACCAUUUGUAACAACGUUAUUAACUUAAACAAUUAAAACAAAAUAACUCUCAUCCAUUUCAAUCUCCUAAUAAUUACCUAUCAUAAGAGCAAUUUUUUUUCCAAGUUGGUGUCAAAACCAAUAACCUAGCUAAAUGUUGUCUUAAAUUUAUCAGGUUUCGGAUAAUGUUAGUCGACAAUACAUGCAUGCGCCGAUGCGCGCAUAAAAUUACCUAUUGAUUUUAAAAUUAUUACUAAAUCACAUGCAUAUAUGAAAACGGUGAUGUAUUCAAGAUUUUGUUGAAAAUAUAAUUCUAGCAUAUAUCAAGCUACUACUUCACCGCCUCAUGAGCAUGUACAAUGCAUACAGCCUCCCUAGGCAGUACCAAGCAAUAUUGGUAGUGGGGAUUUCAUAGUCAUGUAAUAUCUCUCUCUCUCUCUCUCUCUCUCUCUCUCUCUCUCUCUCUCUCUCUCUCUCUCUAGCCAACUCCAUUAGGGGAAACAUUCACGGCGUCUCAUAGUAGUUGGUACUUGUCGAGUUGUUGAUCGAUCAUUACGGUAUUGCAAAUACAUACAACUAUUUUACUCAUUUGAGACUUUGUAAGCAAUUGCAGUUUCCAGAUUACUGCAUGCAGAUGGAGAUGCAUGGAAGAGAAAUGAGUUUCAAUGUUUCAUCAUAUCAUUUCUCACAUCAUGUAGCAACUUGUAUAUAUAUAACAUAAUUGUUGAUGCGACGGGAAAGGUCUAAAUACAUUUAAGUAGGCAAAAUGUGACUUUUGAAUGUUUAAAUGUUAGGCUUAUGUAAAGAUGGAGAACUCUUAAUAGUAAUUUCGAUAAUUUUUUAAAGGAUUUCGAUAUAUUUUAUUAAAUUAGAAAAGAAUCGACACUCAUGAAUUAGCAUGAUUUUAACUUAUUUUUUCUACUCUUCUAUCACUAUUAGGACCAAUUUAGAGUGUUGUUAGAAAAAACAAUUUAUUUCUUAGGCAUUAAGUUAUACGGGUCAUAUACGUACAUUUAUUAUAUAUUAUACAUUUCAUUAUUUCAUAUUGCCAUUCCGGCAGGGUGGUGCAGCAGUGAUGAUAUACACUUGACAGUGAGUUGGGCCUCUACCCAUUCAUUGGAUCUUGCUGGCUUUUAAUUUAUAUAUUUUUUAAUAUAUUUUUAAUUUCUACAUCCUGGGACUCCCUAGUCUCAAAUAAUUAAUCUCGCCAAUUCUAAUGCGGCAAAUAAAAAGAGGAGUUGGGAAGUUUUUUGUUCUUCUUCAAUUGGUAGCUCUUUCCUUUGAGCUCGCUUUUGGCGUAAUGGGGUCUUACGUCGUUCGUAUGCAAGCUCUUCUAUUUGGCCAGGGGUGAAACGUUUUUGGGCUCAAGUUCAAGAAAACUCAAGGUGGCUCAUUGGUUGUGGGAGAUCAGUACAUUUCUGGAGAGAUAAUUUCUUGGGUAGGCCACUUCUCAAAUUUUUUGGGAAUGAUAAUGCAGGUUUGGCUGCUCUCAUGGAUGGGUUGGUAGCUUAUUACAUUCUUAAUGGUGCUUGAAAUUUUCCCUCAUUGCUUCAACUGCAUUUUCCAGGCCUCUGUGAUUUAAUUAGUGGUGUUCCUAUUGCUUUAUCCCCAAAUAUGCCUGAUAAAUUGAUAUGAGUUCCAUCUGCAUCUGGUGAGCUAACUGCAAAGGAUGCUUUUCACUUUCUACGUCUGCGACUUCCUCAGACAAAUUGGGGUAAGCUUAUAUGGUCUAAAUAUAUUAUUCCUCGUAUCUCUAUUCAUUCAUGGAAAGUGUUACGAGGUAAGGUAUUGUCAGAAGAUGUGUUGCAACGACGGAGAUUUUCCUUGGCAUCUCGUUGUGUCCUUUGUGGCUUGGAGGGUGAAUCAUUGCUUCAUAUUUUUUCUCAUGCUCUUAUGCUUAUUCCUUGUGGGGAUGUUGGGUAUCUUGGUUUGAGUUGGGUGUUAUGCCAUCGACUAUUAUGGAUUUGUUAUUCUAUGGUUUGAAUGGUCGUAGCCAACAACUUAGAGAAUUGUGGCUGCUUUGUUUUACUGCUACCCUAUGGUUUAUUUGGAAGGCAAGGAACAUAAUGAAGCAUGAUGGUCGUUUCAUUGGUGUGGAUGCUUUACGUAGGCUUAUUUUGGGGUACAUACAAGCUGCUAGUAGAUUAGCUACAGGUUGUAUGUUCAACUCUUUGGAGGAGUUACGAGUCUUGAAAAAUUAUAAUAUUUCAUGUUGUCCACAUAGAACUCCUUUUAUUAUUGAGGUUAAUUGGCAUCCUCCAAUCCUUGGGUGGGUGAAAAUUAAUACUAAUGGUGCGUGGCAACGUGCAUCAGGACAAGCCGGAUAUGGUGGUAUUUUUCGUGACUUCCGUGGUAUUUUUCGUGGAGGCUGAGGUCAUGGCAGCAAUCCAAGCUAUUGAGUUAGCUAGCUUGGGUUAGAGAAUGGAAACAUAUAUGGCUUGAGGUGGACUCGACUCUUGUCCUUCAUUAUCUUCGGGAUCCUCAUCUUGUUCCUUGGCGGUUACGGGUGGCCUGGAGUAAUUGCUUGUACCAUAUAUCACAUAUGCACUUUCGGUCCUCUCAUAUAUUCAGAGAACUUAAUCAAGUGGCGGAUGCACUUGCUAAUAUUGGGUUGUCAUUGACUAGCAUGUCAUGGUGGGAUGAUCCUCCUCCUUCCAUCGUUGAUCAUUGUCGGCGAGAUGCACUUGGUCUCCCGAAUUUUCGUAUUUGUUAAUAUCUUUGUCAUGUGUUCAUUGAUGUUUUUUAGGUGAUUACUUAUUUCUCUACCAAAAAGGUUAUUUGUACUUUAUGGCUGAGAUUGGUCUAGUCCUCCAGCUUCUUGUUCCUUUUUUUUUAUCAGCCUCCCUAGGCAGUACCAAGCAAUAUUGGUAGUGGGGAUUUCAUAGUCAUGUAAUCUCUCUCUCUCUCUCUCUCUCUCUCUCUCUAGCCAACUCCAUUAGGGGAAACAUUCACGGCGUCUCAUAGUUGAGUUCUUGUUCUAAUUUCGCUAGAUAGGUAGUCGAAUCAUUAAGCGUCACAUUCACUAGUGAUGUAACAUUCUUCGUUGUGUAUUCUUGCUUGUCUUUGCUACUGUUCUACUAAUGUUCUAUCUUAAGCUGCUGCCUCUACUAACCUGUUGGUAAGCUUGUGUUGUGAAGAUUUUGCAUAUGCUUUUGUGUGCACAUUACGUCGCUGUUAAUUUCUUUUAGAUCACUAAUAUGAGAUAUAAACUUUGAUUAAUGAUGAGUGUGAGAACACGGUGACAAUUGCCACAAGAAGAUCGUUGUCGGUGCCUCAAAAUCGAUCUCAUUUCUCAAAUCAAAGAAGGAUUAAAUCUUCUCAGAAUCAGUCAUGUUCUUGGUACUUUUUCUUUCAACAUUGACAUUCCUAGUUCAGUAGCAGCAGAGGUGAUGGCAGUUAUAAUUGCUAUUGAGCUUGCUUGGGUACGAGACUGGAAGCACAUUUGGUUAGAGGUUGACUUGUCGCUUGUGUUAGACUAUCUACAGUCUCCUUUGCUUGUACCUUGACAUCUACGUGUCCAUUAGCUUAAUUGUUUACGUUGCAUAUCGGAGAUGAUCUUUCGAUCUUCUCAUAAUUUUUGUGAAGGGAAUAAGGUUGCAGAUGCUCUGGCUAAUUACUGUACGUCAUUAACACAGCUGGUUUGGUGGGAUUCACCUCCCUUUAUUUUGUCAUAUUGUAGUAUUGACCUUAAUUAUGGGUCUUCCACAAUUUCGGUUUUCUUAGUUUUGUUUUAUUGUUAUUUUGUUAUGAGAGUUUUUGGUCUAAUCCCUCUCUCUUGAUGUUUCUCUUUUCUUUUUUAACUCAUAAGAGUGUUAGAGGGUCAUUCCUCUCUCACUCAUCUUUCAGACCAAAAAAAAAAAUCUUCAUUAGUCAAUAAUAAUGAUUCAAAAAUCAUGUCUUAUGUUUGGUGUUCAAAUCACUAAUCGAUCAUACAAGUGAUGCGUUUAUUCUUUUCGAUCUAGGUCUAGCUAGCUAUACGAAUUUUAAAUCCAUAUUGUUUGUGUUAUGGUAUCAAUUGUGCUCGUACACUAAACCAUUGAAUCGAGAAUCCUCUGCGUAUUGGAAUCUUUUUUUCUUAAUAUUAAUAAAUCCAUUAUUUCCUUGAUCGUGAUCUUUGAGCAAAACAAAUUCUAAAUAUAUAUGAAUCAUGGAGUAUUGGAGCAACGGUGGUUUAGGUGCACCGCGAUUUCUUUUGCUACAAAUGGAAGGAAGAGUUAGCUAGGGCUGGCCAGCUGGACAAAACGGUCCAACUACCAGAGCCCAACACUUCUGGACAGAAAGCACCAAACAACGACUCCAGCUACUAUGUGACACCGGAACCCACCAGGGCCCACACCCUUCCUCCCCCUUUCCCUUCCCUCUCUUUAAAACCUCGCGUGGCUCUUUCCAGACCCCAUUUCCAGCUGUGUAUAUAUACAAAGCUUUGCUGGUAGCACUGAGAUCAUUAUUAGCUCAUGAUAGUUCAUCCUCACCACUACUACUACUUCUACCGCUCAUUCACAUCUUUCUCUCUUCCCAAACCCACCUGAUCUUCUGUAGGAUCUGUUUUAGGUUCCAGAAGCAGCAGCAGCAGCUAGCAGUAGUAGUACAGUAGUACUCUGCGGUUAGGGUUUUAGUUAUGAUGGAUGUACUGUUCGAUCAUCAUCAUUUUCUCAGCGAGCGGGAAACUCCGUCGUCGGAGAUGAAGGUUUCCGUCGGCUCCGAUUACAAGCAGGGUUGGAGUUUUCCUGAAGGUGAGGGAAAAGGGUUUGUUGGGUCGAGGACUACUGAAGCUGAGCUUGUUUCGUCGUCAGAGUCGACUGAGGAGGACGACGAUUACAUUGCUGAGUUGACUCGCCAGAUGACUCACUACAUGCUUCAGGACGACGACAAACACGCUCUCAAAACCAGUAUUACUAGCUCCGAGAAAAACGAAGAGGUGAGCUUUGAGAUAAUGAUAUGUUCCAGAGUUGAAGUUGGAUUAGAACUUCCGGUAGAUAAGGUCGUUCUAAAUAUUAAUCUUCAUUCUUCAAUCAUAUUAAUGUUGUUGCAGUCGUGGGGUUGUGUCGGUUGGCAGAGUAACUCGAUGACGAUGUGGUCGCCGUUGGGAUCGAGCAAUGGAAGCCCAGAAGGUCCAUCUGAGGAGCCAUCGCCGCCGGUGACGCCAGGCAAAGACAAAGCUUCGGAGCAUAAAAUUCCUCCGUCGUACGCCGCCGUUUUGUGCAAGUUGGACAAGUUAGAAACCAACAAACAGGGAAGACCAAGUGGAACUACCCAAGUAGCUGAAGCUGAAAAUCCAAAGCAAGGUGUAGCUUUUGAUCAAAGCCAAGACUCUAAGGUAGGAAUAAGUUUGAUUGUUAAUUAGUUAUGGUAAUUUGUUUUACUAUUCAUACACCAAACAUUCUACUUGCCUAAUUUGGUGUCAAUUAUCUUGUAGAUUAAUUUGAAGCUAACGCAAGGGCGAAGUACUAAGAAGCAAAGCUCAGUAAAUAAUGGUAGACAACCCAAGCAUAUUACUCAUCAGACAUUUGAGUCCUACAACCUAAACCAUAAGAAAGUAGGAUGUGAUGCUAAUGGCGGAUUAAGGACUUCUCCACCUAUUUCCACUUUGUCCUCAACCCCGUGGCUGAACAACCAGCAAGGCCCCUCAAAUAUGAGGGCGGUCUUCCUAGGUGGGUCGGGCGGCGCCGGUGCUAGAGUUGGGACGCCGUCUUGUGGGACUGGUGUCUUCUUACCCUGUGUUAUUGGUAACACAUCUCAGUCACCCAAGAAUAAAAGAGGUACUGAUUCAAAGCCUUUGUCAAUUUUUUGGGGUUGGUUUUAGAUUUUCCGGUGGCUUUUAGCCGAAUGUAAGUUUAAUUUGGAGGGGUUUCUUGGUCGUUGUAGUGGUUGGGGUUUGAAGUGAAAUAUCACCUAUCCAAUAUGUGAUGAUAUUUGGAUUGGUCGUAUGUGUGAUGUGUUUUGCAUCUUUUGGUGUUUGACUGUGGAUCUAGAUUAGGUUCCAUAUUAUUGAGGGAUUCCAUUAUUGAGAUUCCUUGUGAUCCCGAAUAUAUACUGGCCAAUCUUGUUGUUAGCUUGUGACUCGUGUAAAAUGGAAUCUUCCCAAACCUCUCCUAUGGUCCCCUUGGCUUGGGGUUUAGCUCCUUGAGGAAAUUGAUUUUUUUUGAAAUCGAGGAAAUUGAUUUUGUUAAUGGGAAUUUUUAAAUAAAUUCCUCAUUUCUUUUGUCAACGUCCCUAAUAUUCUUCCUCUAGUAUAGAUUUUCAUGAAAUGUUCAAUAAUUUGUUAUUAUUCUAGUUCAACCACUUUCCAUAGUGGUUUGUUAGUUGUAAGCUUAGUCACAUUAAAAGAAAGUAUAGUAAAAGACUUGCAAUGCAAGGGCGAGAUUAAAAUUGUUUGGAAGAUGAAUGUUGUGGUUUUAGGUUGCCUAAAAUUGUUUUUCUUGUUCAUUUCGGGUUGCUUUUUGCCAAUCUGUUAAUUUCAAGGAAUUCUUAUUAACACUAUGAAAAAGUAUUUGGUACAGUGUUUACAUUAGCUUUAUAGUGGCGACGAAAAUACGUAUUGUAUCGUCAUAUGUAUGAUUGAACACAUAGAUUCUGAUUAAGUAUAGACGGUUUAAAUAAACACUCUUUGUAAAUAUCAUUACCACAUAUCGAUCGCGUGCCGUGAAUGAUAUGUUAUAGGUUUUUUUAAAGUUAUACUAGGUCUAGGUGUAAGUGGGUCGUUUUCAUGCUUGUGUAACCCUAGUAGCUAUCAAAUUUAGAAUUGUCCUUAGUUUACCUCUUUGGUACAUUGAAAAGAUCCUUUCUCAAAGCUCCUAAGACGUUGGCUUUCUCUUAUCGAUUGCAGGAUGUGCCCCUGUUCUAAUACCCGCAAAGGUAGUACAAGCCCUGAAGGUUCAUUUUGACCGAGUCGGUGACCUACCUCGACAAAACCCUACUGCCUUCCCCAUACAAAACGGUACAAAUUACCUUGUAGAUCUAACUAGAUCUGUACUUCAUAUAUGCCAAAGUGUUCCCCAUUCUCUGACGUCUCUCCUAACUCUUGCUUUGUUCUUUUGUGUUUAACACUAUCAGAUUCCUCAAAGAGUGGAAGGAGGACAAGCACGUCUGCAAAUAGAAAGCGCCACUCGAGAGGAGCGGCACCACCGCCGGACAUGAACAACAAUGAGAUGGGUCUACCUCAAGAAUGGACGUAUUGACUUAGCCAAAGCUAAAGCACAUGCCUGUGCUUAUUAUUUCAUCACCCGCCUACAAUGUUGCUAAUCUCUCGUUUUCACUUAUGGUGGUGUCACUGUGAUGCUUUGGCUGUGUUUGUUUCGUAGCAAAUACGGAAAGGGGUUAAGAUUGAAUAAACUCAAUAAAGAGAAAGAUGAUGACAGACACAAUAGUCGGUCAAUUAGAUAUGUAGGGGAAUCCAUUAGAUCAUAGAUUACGACAAACAAAUAGAGAUUCACGAGAAUAUUAUCUUCUAUCUUCUUCUUCUUCUUCUUCUUUUUCCUCUCUUUUAUGAUCUUCCAGAAAUUAAACAAUAAGUUUGAAUUUGUCUGCUGCAGCAGGCUGGGAUUGAAUAGCUUAACAAAUGCUGCUGUAAAGCAUGUGGAGAAGUAAUGCUUACAAAAUAAGUCCAUAUGAUCGACAACAAUCACAACACCAACAACAACAACAUACUAUACACCAACUCCCAACCACCGGAACUGAUCGCGCAGAGCCGCAAUGCUGCAACACCGAUAGCCUUGCAAAACUUUCGGAGGUCCAAACACACUACUAUACAUCGUGACAUGCUAAUCAUAUCUACAAAGGCGGGCCUAACCCAAGCAACAACAACUAAGAAAGCUCCCGUGUCAUACCUAGCCUCCUCAGACAGAUUUGUGCUGCGGGAGCCGUCUUGUAACCAAGUCCUACUAGAUGUUAUGCCCUAUCUAAAGAAGCAAACGCAAUACCAACACUACCAAAAACAAAUCCGAUCAACAAAUGCCGAAUACAAUCAUAAUAUAACCGGACCUAACAGAAAAAAAAAAAAAAGUAAAGAAGAAGAAGAAGAAGAAGAAGAUAGAACAGUCAUUUAGAUAACUAAAUCACACGGCGUAUUCAAAUAAAAUCACCGUGUCAACGAAAAUUCGAUUGCAUGACUGUUAGUGUUGUCUCGUAAUGUUCUUUGAUCCGAACCCUAAAUAUUAGCACAUCACCCGUCGUUAGAAACACAGAAAAGUAUAAUGCACACGCAGUACAAUAGUUUGCAUAUUCCCUAGUGUCAUUUAAUAUGAUAGAGAUAUGACGUGCUAAUCGGAGCUCCAAUCAUCUUCAAUAAUUCAUACAGGGCAACGGAGAGCUUAAUUUCCUGGGUACUAUACUUGGUUGAUCAUCUUUUCGAUUGUGAUGGUACUUGUCGAGUUGUUGAUCGAUCAUUACGGUAUUGCAAAUACAUACAACUAUUUUACUCAUUUGAGACUUUGUAAGCAAUUGCAGUUUCCAGAUUACUGCAUGCAGAUGGAGAUGCAUGGAAGAGAAAUGAGUUUCAAUGUUUCAUCAUAUCAUUUCUCACAUCAUGUAGCAACUUGUAUAUAUAUAACAUAAUUGUUGAUGCGACGGGAAAGGUCUAAAUACAUUUAAGUAGGCAAAAUGUGACUUUUGAAUGUUUAAAUGUUAGGCUUCACUACCAGGACAAGCACUUUAGCCGACGAAAAUUUUUCGUCGGCCUGUCAGCUUAAUUCGUCGGCUAAGAUUUCGUCGGGAAAAGCUCGUCUGUGGUGACUUUAGCCGACGACACACGUAUAAGUCGUCGGCUAUAGUCCAUACUUUAGCCGACGAAAUAAUGUCGUCGGCUAUAGUCCGGACUUUAGCCGACGAAAUAAUGUCGUCGGCUAUAGUCNNNNN